rnacentral:lncRNA from 1 species
AAGACUUCACUUUCAGAAUUUCAGAUAUUAAAUAAUAUACAUUCGUUUUUGUUCGCAGGAUUCUCUAGUUGAGACUGCAAAAGAGGAAUCCAAUUCAUUAAGCAGUAUCAUUGCACAAGUCACCAAGUAGAAUGAAUAAGGUAAGUUUCUUUGGUUUUAGUAGUGAAUCUCCAUGAUCACCAUCAAUCUUCAGAGGGCUCAAAACCCUAUUAACAUUUAACACAAAGGUUCACUAUAUUUUUAAAACAGAAAUUGUAAAUUUCUAUUGAUUUGCAAUUUCCUCCUAUCAGUGGAAACCCUAUUUCCCGAGCAGGUCAUCGACCCAUACCUCCAAUUAUCGUUGUUUUCUCUUUCAAUUACUGCCAUCUCUAUUACCAUAAUUGUCACCCACAACCUUUGCCAAUUAAAGGGACGCCAAAAUAAAUAAAAAUAUAUAACCAACAGUAAAGAAGAGUACAUAUUUGAUGAAGGAAACUUUUCGUUAAUCCCCAUUCUAAUACCAUCAAUAAACAAACAUUGGCAUACUGCAACUAUUGUCCGGAGGGUACCUUUCUACAAGUAGAAAGACUUACCUCCGAGUGAUAUACCAGACACAUAUAAUAUAUCACCCGUGGUGCAAAUUAAAUGAAAAUUAUGUACACAACGAGACUAAAACCUUUGACCCCUCGACAAACUUAAUAGUUACUGUGACCAGUUGAGCUAAUCUCUGUGUGUUUGUUAGGAGUUAUUAUUUCACUAUUUCAGCAAGAAAUCUUUCUAUAUAUGUUUUGGUGUUGAUUGUGUGUUGAUUAUAUUUUCAGGUGUAAAAUGGAGAUGACAGAUUAUUACACACACACAGUAAAAUUCUAAUGCAAUUUGCAAUUCAACUAUGUAUCUCAGUUAUGUUGGAACUUUGUAUAACAGUUCAUGUUGUAAUUAUAUAUCCCAAUUUCCAAUUGGGUCAGAACUAUGUAUUUUAGUUAUAUGUUAAAGUCCAAAUCAGUCCAUUAACUAAACAUUCAAUGGACUGGAGUUAGUUAUGCUUAUCUUGAUUCUUGGGAGUCCAACAAAAUAAUUAAUAACUAGCAAUAUACAUAUUCUCAAGAUUUUUAUUUAUUGAAGGUCAUUUUGAUUAUCAUACAAAGAGAAAAUAAUUAAAAAUUUAGACUAGGGUUUGCCUUGGGUAUGGACAUAUGGUAUGGAUCGAGUACGGACUUACCCAUAAUCACCAGGGGUAUGGUGGAGGCAAACCACACCUUCAUUACAUUAAUUCCAAAGAUAGUCGCCGGGGCGGAAGAGAUUGAACACUUUUGUAAAAUUAUAAGAUAUAUGAAGAAUUUUGCAAAUAGAUUGGAGAAGGUGGCUCCUUACUUAAACGGGCAAAGGAAAUGUUGAAUGGUACUCAAUAGAAUGGUCAUUCCAAGAAGAUUGUUUGUUGAUAUAAGGAAGGCCUUCGAUGCGAUCUCAUGGAGAGGCAGAGAGCUAUUGACGAAACACUGAAAGGAAUAGGGUUUAAAGAAGAAUUUAGAAGAAUAUUGGAUCAAUAUAUACUACAAAACUCCCUCUUUUUUAGUUUUAGUUGAGGGUGAGCUCACGACCAAAUUCAAAAACCUGAUCUCUCUAAUUCUCCUCAACUUAGCUAUGGAAACCCAUUCCCAAAUUAGGUUUAAAAAAUUUAUGUAGUUUAAGCUAGAUAGAAAGAGUGGAGUCAAUUUCUCACUUAUUAUUUGCGGAUGACAUGCAUUUUGAUUUUUGGUGAGGCAAGUCGGGCCUCAUUGAUUUCGAUGAAAGAAACCCUUGACACUUACUCAAAUUUAACAGGAUCACACUCCAACCAUUCGAAAAGUGUAGUUGUCUACUCAAAAUUUUGCAAACAAAUUCCAGCACUUGAAGCGAUAAUUCAGAUUCCAACAAAGUCAUUUCCAAUCAAAUCUAGGGUAGAGUCCAACUAUUGGCAGCCGGGAAGCUCAAGCAUAAGGAUUGUGGAGCGUAUCAUCACUGGAGAAAGCGUUGGGCAGGUGAAGAGGGAGGAAGCUUUCUUAUAGUGGUAAGAGUCCAAUUGCUAACUAUUGGGUUCAAGCCACUAGACUAUCGAAGAAGAUAUUUGUUGGUACCAUGGACCGAACCAGCUGCUUUCGGGCCCAACCGCACGAAUGAGCCGGACCGAAGAAGGCCCACGAAGCCUGCGAAUUUUUGGGGCAAACACUAUAAAUACCUCUCCUGAUUUAACAGGGGAAGGGGUUGACAAUCAGAAGAGUAGAUACUUGAGAGAGUUAUGUGUGUGAGCAUUCGCCUACGAGCCCACACACCAUCAACAUUGAAGAAGGUGCGGUCGAUAGGCUACAACUUCUUACAGGGUGGAUGAAAAGGGACGGAUUGGGAUACAGUUACUUUAACAAGAGAAGAAGGAGGUUUGGGGAUUAAUUAAGGACUUCAUAACUCUUGAUGAAGCUACUACAAUCAAGUAAGCGAUGGAGUUAUGGGAUGAGAGGGAUUCGACAUGUAGGAGUUGGAUGAAAGGGAGGGUGAUCGACGAUCUAUAUCCGAGGAACACAAAUUCGAAGAGUCGAAGGCACUAUCAUUAUAAAAAAAAAUGGCUUAUAAAUGAUGGAUAAUAUUGGAGUUAUAAACGGCAAAAUUUCUGUCAUUUUUUUCACAUUUCCAUUUGAGGAUCUUAAUUUGACUAUAUUGGCGGAUUUUUCGCCAAUUUAGGAUUUUCCCGGGAAGCAUACACAAAUGACGAAUAUUUCGCCAUAUAAUACUUAUAAAUUACGAAGGAGUUUGGGCGCGAAAUUUUUUCCCGGCAAAAAAAAAAAUAUUUUGACGGAAAUUCAUCACAAUAUUCAUUUAGAUUCAUUACAUGAAUUUAAAAUCCACUAAUAUUAGAGUUAACGUAUUCUAAAUCAUUCAAAAUAUUAAACUAUCAAUGUAAUUAUGGAAUAAGAGGAAGAUUAGAUGUUCGAAUUAUCAAUCUUCUUCUUUUGAUAAAUGAUUUGAAGUGCUGAUUGGCGGAAUUUGAUCUUGGUCGAGGAAAAUCCAAAUCCGUCAAUUAUAAGGUCUUUUUUUUCCCGCAGUGUAUUAAAAUCUAAAGAGAAAAUCAACAAGUUUGCGACUUUGAAAACUAGUCUGGUCAUGCUUAGUUAUACUACAGUUUGGCAUUUAUGGAAGGAAGAUAACAGUAGAUAGCACAACAACGUCGACAUUUUAAAAGAUAUACAGAGUACUAAUUCCGAGAGGAGAAAUUCGAGGCAUCUUACGUCAGAGGUGGUAGAAAGCGAUUUGCUUGCUUGACAACUUGGAGGUUGCAUUGCGUACAAGACUACCCAGAAUGAUCCAAUAGUGUUAACAACCAUGAUUGAGGGAACUCUCAUAGAUAAUGAGAAUAACUUCCAUGCUUCAAUUUCCCUAAACGUUUUUCAUUAAUAUCAUUUACCUUCUUCAUCAAAAAGAAAUCAAAGUCAAAUAAAAAUAAAAUGUUUAAAAGUUGAAUAGUAAUUUUCCUUGACUUUCAAUCAGCAUAAGAGUGAGUCUUAGAGGGGGGAGGAGGCCGGAGGGGAGUGUGUUUUAACUUUUAAUUUAGGUUCGUACGGCUUUCGUUCUCAGAAAGUCCUAAAUCUCACACCAACCCAAAAUCUAUCCAGAAACACAACACAGGUGGUGAAACAACCGGAAGGAAAGAAAGAAAAAUACGUCUUUUGGGUUUUGGUUUCCUUUUUGUUCCACACUUCAAAAUUUGGGUUUUUCUUUGUCGGAGGGUUUUUGAUGCUUCGAUUGGUGUUAAUGUAGUGUGACGUUCCCUUACUUUUCUUUACAACCAGGUGAAAGCUUUACUACUGUUUUAGGAUCAGCAUGGCUCAGAGCAGCUGGGAAGCGGACAAGAUGUGAGUGGAUGUGUCGAUUGGAAUUCAUUUCACUGUGUUUCUUCUUCUUUUUCUUCUUCCUCCUUUUCUUUUUAAUUUUAAGUUAACGACAACAAAAAUACCCAUUCUCGUCCUCUCUUGUUUCAUGGUUCGUCAGGCUUGAUGUGUACAUCCAUGACUAUUUGUUAAAGAGGAAUCUUCAUGCCACUGCCAAAGCUUUCAUGACUGAAGGGAAAGUUGCGGCCGAACCAGUAGGUAUGAACUAAGAAAAAUCUUUUUUUUUCUUCCAUUUUUUUUACCAUUCAAUCUGAUCGCAAGAUGCAACUUGCUGAGGUUAGUUUCUAUUUACGAAUUAACUGUCUGAACUCUGAAGUCUCAUAUUUAAUCGUUUUACAAAUGCAAUUUUACUUAAUUCUCUUGCUGUUCUGCUUACCUAGUAUAGGGUAUUGCCUUUUGGAAGUGAUUUUCAUUUGAUUUUAACUUGAAUGUGCAGCAAUCGAUGCUCCGGGAGGGUUUCUUUUUGAAUGGUGGUCUGUUUUUUGGGAUAUUUUUAUUGCAAGAACCAUUGAAAAACACUCUGAUGUUGCUGCAACAUAUAUAGAGGUAUUUCUUCUUGUGUCUAUUUGGUAGUUGGUUGUUUUUAUUCUUCUCUCAAAAAAUACAGCAAGCAUGUAUUAGCUUCUUUUUGUCGCAGGUACAACAAAUCAAAGCAAGGGAACAACAACAGCUACAGAUGCAACAGUUGCAACUCAUACACCAAAGGCAUCCUCAAUUGCAGCAUAGAGUUGAUGCCGCUAAUCAUUCUUCUCUUAAUAGUGGACCCUUAAGUACCAUCACCUCUGAUGGAAUAAUGGGACCAUCAACUGCUAGUGUACUUGCAGCCAAAAUAUAUGAGGAGCGGAUGAAGCUUCCCCAUUCAAUGGAUUCUGAUUCAUCUCCACAACUUCUUGAUCCAACAAACAGAAUGGCCCUCCUUAAAUCAGCUGCCCAUUCUGGGUAUUUUGUUUUUACUUUCUUGUUGAAUUUGUUGUGAACUAUGAACAAAAGGUUUAUGAUGUUAUGUGUUUUUGUAUUACAGACAGUUAAGCGGUCAAGGUAACCCAUGUACUGUGUCUGCUGCAUUGCAGCAAAUUCAGGUAUUUUUUCCCAUGUAACUUAUACAAUUUAUAGCUUCUCAUUAUUAACUCCAUCAUCAGCUGAUGGAGUGGUAUGGUAGUAACUUAUUAAAGUAUUAAUUUAAUUUAAAAUAUUAAGGGUUUGCUAGGUUUAGUUUUCAUCCUCAUUUUAUUAUUUUUCCACAGGACAUUAAAGGUGAAGUUAAUUUGGGUGGAGCACAAAGAUCUUUGCCCAUGGAUCCAUCUUCAAUUUAUGGAGCUGGAAUUUUACAGUCAAAAUCUGGACUUGGUCCUGCUGGUGAGCAUAUUGUCUUGAUAUUUACUAUUCAUUCGUUUCUACUCUUUCUAAUUGUCUAUUAUGUUAAAGAAAUAAGUAGCGUGGUCUUGUGGUUUAGACUUUAAAGCUAAAGUAUACUGAGUUGAUUUUACUGGUUGUGAGUGACCAAACUGUUAUUCUUUCUCAAUACAGGGAUGAACACGGGUGGUGUCAGUGGACUUCCUUUGAAGGGAUGGCCUUUAACUGUAAGAUACAUAACACUUGUGGUUUCCAAGAUAUAGCUUAGUCACUUAGGGUAACUUUUGGAUUUUUUUCCAUCCAUGGCAACAGGGAUUAGAUCAACUGCGUCCAAAUCUUGGUUCUCAAGUUCAGAAACCUUUUAUACCCACACAGUCUCAAUUUCAAAUGUUGUCGGCACAGCAGCAACAGCAGAUUCUGGCUCAGGCACAGGCUCAAAGCAAUCUUGGCAACCAAGCUAGUUAUGGUGAUAUAGAUCCUCGUAGAUUUAGAGGCAUGCCUCGGUCAAACAUGAAUGGAAAAGAUGGUCAGCCUUCUGGUACUGAUGGAUCACUUGGGUCCCCAAUUCAAUCACCCAAACUUCGACAGGAUCAGGUUGAUUAUCAGAUGAAGGUUUGUUUUAUAAUUCAUAUGAUUCUUAUCUAAACAAGUCACAGUAGUAAGAAAAAGGAAUAUUUAAAAAGGUGUUCCUCAUCAAAAUUUUCUUUUGAAAUUUCAAUAUUUUAGAAGCUUCUUUAGUCGCAAAUCGUUGAAAUGUUCUAUACUUCUUUCUAAUUCACCGUCAGACUGUUCUGAUAUAGUAAUUUAAUCAUUUUAUAUAUAAGUUUCUUGCCGGUCAAUGUCUACAUAUGAUUAACUUUGAAAAAUCGAACUAGCUGAAGAUGGCCCAAUUACAACAUAGCCUUUCUGUUCAGCAAAUGCAAGAUCAAAUGCAGCAACAACACUAUCAACAAUUGCAGCAGGUAUUUUCUCACAAUUUGUUAAAUUAUUCUGUUUGCCUUUUUUGGUCAAACUUCUCACCUUGGUAAAAAGGUAAAUGUGUGUAGAUACAAAUUAAUAACAAAAAAGUAAACCUAAACUCACAUCGUGAAGUUGAGAUAGAAUUCCUAAUGAUUCUAGGUAUUUAACCCAAGAAAAUUUAAGGAAACUCUUUCUCAUUGGGAGGCACUAUCCCAAAGAUACCAUCCCAUUAGUUUUCUGGUAGCUUGCCAUGUUGUUUUUAGUCUCUAGCUAGAGUAGAUCAUAAUCAUCAUAGUAUGCUAGUUUUGCCGUUUUCAUUAUUGAUUUUUUGUUUUGCAAACAAUGCAAACCUCAACUAAACCCUUUCUAGAUUCGUGUGGCAUAUAAUUUUGUAAAAUUAAAUUCUCUUCACUUAUGUAAGAGAUAUAAAUGUGACAACUUUAGUAACUGUGAGUUUGACAAUUUGUAGAUUUUUUUUGAAUUAAAUGUGGGAAAAAUACAUUAUGAAAAAGGAAGAUUUUUUGUUGUUGACUAGUUAAGCUUUGAUAUUUGUAAAGGUAAAUUCAUCCAAACAUAUUUCUUAUUAUUAUGUAACAGAACACCAAAAAAAGGAAGCAAGCUUCUUCUGGUGCUGCCAAUAGCAUUGGAACAGGCAAUACAGCAAAUUCACCUCCAUCUACACCAUCUACUCACACAGCUGGUGAUGCAUCAAUAAUAGCUGGAAAUUUGCCUCGUGUUAAUAGCAUGCAAAAAAGCUUAGGUAUGUAUGGUUCAGAUGGAACAGGUGGACUGGCAUCAUCAACAAAUCAAUUGGUACUUGUUUUACUAUUUUGUUUAUAUUUCAAAAUUUUCAAAUUGAGCCCUUCUUUUGUAGAGUUACAAUGCCUUAUUUGAAAUAAAAGGUAUCAGAUAGUAAUGUUAUUUUAAUUUUAAAAAAUGCAGGAUGACAUGGGGCAGUUUCCUGAUGUUGGCUCAUUGGAUGAUAAUGUUGAUUCUUUCUUGUCAAAUGAUGACGUUGAUACAAGGGACAUAUUUGCUGCAUUGAAAACUGCAGAGCAAAAUGCAGAUCUGUUAAAAAGUUAGUGUUCCUCCUUGUCCAGAUAUUACAUAGUUUCCUGUAUUCUACUAGAGCAUUAAAAUUCUGGAGUACAUUGUGUUUCAGAUGUCAGUUUUUCUGAGUACAGAUGUAUUCGUACAAGCAACAGCAAGGUUGUUUGCUGCCAUUUUUCUUCAGAUGGAAAAUUCUUAGCCAGUGCUGGGCAUGAAAAGAAGGUAAUACAUGCAAGGUUUGUAAUGUAUGAUAUUUUUUCUAGGCUAACGAAAACUUUUGUUUGACUGUUAUUUUUUAUGCAUCGAAUUAUUGAUUGUGACGAUGCUUGUUUUUUUUUCUCACCUCUUGGUUAAGUUUAAAAAUUCAAAUGAUUUGAUGCAUGAGGCUAGGGAUUUAAACUCUACUGGCCACUACAUCAGUUUUAACUACUUCCUCAAAGGGAAUUCCGUGAUCUCCCUCGAGGGUUUUACCCCUUCCAUUGUUGUAUGAUCGUCGCAGCUUUUUUUUAUAUCUGAGUUAUCAGGGAAAAAACUGUAAUGAUUUUUCUUGGUUUUAGGCUGUGAUUUGGAACAUGGACACACUGCAAACUGAGAGUACUCCUGAAAACCACACACUUAUAAUUACUGAUGUUCGAUUUAGAACAAAUUCAACUCAGUUGGCGACAUCAUCAUUUGAUAGAACUGUCAGACUUUGGGAUGCAUCUGAUGUAAUGAUUUUUACCCUUUCUCAUUUUUAUUCCUGCAUAAAGCUGUAAACAGGUUCCACUUCAUUAUAUUUAUUUUAUAUGAAUACAUUUUUUUUCCCACCUGCAGCCAAGUUAUUGUUUGUACACUUUUGACAAACACAAUUCACAUGUGAUGUCUCUGGAUUUUCAUCCAAAGAAAACGGAUCUUUUAUGCUCGUGCGACGGAAACAGUGAAAUACGGUUUUGGAGUGCUACAACUUAUAACUGUUCAAGAGUUACAAAGGUUAAAUUUGGCAACAAAAAUCAUGCAUUUGAUUGUAUCCAGGUAUUCUGAGAUUUUCUUUUGUAAACCCAGGGCGGCACUGCACAAGUCAGGUUCCAACCCAGACUUGGACAAUUUCUUGCUGCAGCGGAGGGAAGUGUGGUUUCCAUUUUUGACGUCGAAAUGGACAGGAAAAUACAAUCCCUGCAGGUAUAUUUUUGCAAUCCCCCUUGUUCCAAUAAUGUGCAACCCAAGCUCGAAACUCAAAUGGCUUUGACCGUGAUCUGGAAUAUUACUGCCAUUAACAGCUUUUUCAUAAGACUUGCAAUCUAAAUUAUCUAACCAACAAACCAACUUCACUAUGUGACUACUGUUACCACAGUGCAUUCAAUAUUUCGAUGACAGAAUGGAUUACAUUUGACCUUACCAAUUCAUGUUCAGGGUCAUGGCAGUGAAGUGCAGUCCGUCUGUUGGGAUGAAAGUGGAGAUUAUUUGGCGUCGGUCAGCCAGGAUUCCGUGAAGGUGUGGAGUAUAGCCUCAGGAGAGUGUAUACAAGAGCUACGGUCAAGCGGAAACAAGUUCCAUUCAUGUGUUUUUCACCCAACCUCUCCUGAUAUACUCGUUGUCGGAGGCUACCAGGUAAAUCCGGUAUUUUGAAUCCAAUUCCCUUAGUUUCAACCUUGAUUUUUACAAAAAACUGUUAUUUUUGGUGUUACCAAAUACACACUGCAGACAUUGGAGUUGUGGGAGAGGUCGUUGAACAAGAGCAUGUCCGUUGAAGCGCACGACAAUCUGAUCGCCGCUUUAGCACAGUCGCCUGUCAAUGGAAUGGUCGCAUCUGCAAGUCAUGAUAAAUCUGUAAAACUCUGGAAAUGAAUCAGUAGUAAAAUUGGAGGUAGAAGAUGAAGAAUAUGUUUAAUUUUGAGUUUUAAUCCAAACAAACAAAGUAGACACAACAAACAAAGUAAUUUGGGGGUAUAUUUUAUGCCCUCUUUGAAAUUCUUCCUUUUCUAGUUUUUUAUUUAUUGAUUAUAUAAGAGAAUCUUUCAUACAUUAUUGUAUUUCUUCUGUUCAUUGUAUUUUAACUCAAACUAACAUCAUGAUCAUUUGCAUAUGAUUACAUUAAAACUAACCUACAGGCUAUAGCUAGAACAAACAAAAAAAAACAGUUGAAUUUUUUUUAAAAUAAACAAACAAACACAGCGGUUACAAAAAAAAAGCAACAUCAAAGAAACAAACUCAACGUCUUUUUUGUACGCACCAACGGUUUAGUUCAGUUGGGUUGACGACAUCAGUUAUGUGGACCCCACUCAUAACUAAAGAAGACACGUCGUUAUAAAUCUUCAUCCCAUCAUCAUCAUCUUUCUCCACUUUCUCCUCCUCCGUUGUUGGGCUUGGGUUCCAUCUUUGACCCAUCAACGUACCACGUUUCAAAUACUCAUGAGCUAGGUAACCGGCGAAAAGCAUGUUGUUGUUUCCUUUUCCUUUUCCAGUGGUAGUAGUAGUAGCAGUAGCAGUAGCAGUGUUGUUGUUGGGUUUGGGCUUCGGCGGAGGUAGCUUGGGUUUUGUCUUUUUAUGUGGAGGACGACGUGGUGAGAAAAUAACAUGUGGUGUUUCAAGGGUAUUUUUGUCUUUCCGUUUUUUCGUAGAACCUAACGGCGUCAGUAUUUGACGGAAACCGGAAUGGCCAGUUGCUGUGGGGACGGAAGUCGACAUCCCUUGCCAGUUGUCAGUUGCCACUGAUUUUAUUUAUAUAACUAAUAUUAGUAAAUUAGGCAAUAAAUAAAUAAAUAAAUAAUAAUAAAGUGACAAUUAAUUAAUUAAUUAAAUAAACGGCUAGAAUCUAAAUAUAAUAAGAAUGGAAAAUAGGAGAAGAAGAACGAAACGUACGAGGAAGGGAGAAAAAGGGGGGAAAUGAUCGGGUGAGGAGGGCAAAAUCGUAAGAAGAAGGUGAGAGAUUAAAGGAGAUCCGUUGGUUAAAAAUAGCCCACCCACACCCAGCGACGUAUGGCGGAAAAACGACUAGAUCGCCGAAGAAGGAGGAGGGAGUGGUCCAAACAGUGCAGAUUUGAGAGAGGGUCAAGGUGGAGAAUGAGAGGAAACGAGGAAACAACAAACAGGAUCGGAUAAAUUUCGUCCUCUGGCUAGCUACUUAUAAAGGAAACGCUGUUUCAGUAUGCCCCUUAGCUUUAUGCUAAUUUACAUCAUUUUGCCAUUGGUUUUUCGAUAGAUGAAUCAAAAUUAUAUUUACAGAAAUAACCUUCACACGGUAAAAAUAAAAAUGGAUUUCUUUUUAAACCUUUCAUUAAUAAUCCUAGGUUUUUACCCACAACACAGGACUCAUGUAGUCAUGUGUGAGUGAUGAAUUCAAUUCUCACUAUUUUUAUAAGUUAGGUAUAAGUUAGUUAGUUGUACUUUUCCUAACACAAUCAUUUAUUUACUUUUGUUAGAAAAAUCAUCAAUUACACUCGUCUUUUUUUCACCUUUAGUUUUUAUAUUUUCGUAUUGUGGAUAAGGUAAUCGUUUUUUAUUAAAAGUUAAAAUUAUGGUUAAAAUUAAUUAUGGUUAAAAGUUAAAAUUAAAUACUUUAAAGGUAAAACUAACUUAAAUAUAUAUCAAUUGUAUUGUUGACUUAAUGUAGUCUUAUUUUUUAAUUUAAAAUUCAAUGUUAUUUUUAAAUCAUCUUUAAACCCUUUAUUCGACCUAUCUUGUUCUCGCAGUCAGUUCUUAUAAUUAUUUCAAAUUAUACUCAGUUUUGACAAAAUGAAAGAAAAAAACGAUACGAAUUAUGAAAGCAAACAAAAUGAAAAAUGCAUGGGAAGGAAACUAAAAAUAAAGAGUUUUAACUCUGGUCUUCUCACUAACCAUGUUGGUGAUAGAGUUGCAACAUCACAGGGAAGCAAUGUUUCAUACUCACUCUUGCGACUGUACACCAGUCACUCCCGUCAAUAAGGACUCGGGUUUCGUUCGCUUUAUGCAGAUCCCCCAGAAGUCUUCGUCGAGACCCGAGUCAACUCUCUGUCGAUUGGGUCUGCCAAAUCACCAAUUGGGGUGGCAAAUCGCCGAGUUGAGAAGAAGAUCGCUAGAGUCUGGCAGGCUGUCGAUCUUCUCUCUGAAUUCGUCGAUUUCACCCCCAACUCGACGGUUACACCCCAAAUCACCGAUUUGGACCGUUACUUGCGUUCAGCUCGAGCCAUAAUGGUCGUAAUGGCCGCCAUUAUGACCGGACACGAUCUCCGUCGUGGAUUACGCCCCUAUGAGAGGACAUUUUGAUCAGGAGACCUUGCAACUAGUUCCCACGUCUCGUUCUCCAUUUAGGCGUCAUAUUCAACUUUCAUGGUUGCCGACCAAUGUUGGUCUUCCAGAUCUUUAACUGCACCUGAGGGGAUAGGUGGAGGAGAGAAAAGUUGACACACAUAUUUUGGAUUCGGCUUUCGAAUCCCGAUUUGAGACCUUGUGAGCAUGUCGUGCCGACGAAGGUUGGGAACUUCGUUCGAGCCAUCUGUAUUGAGCAGCUCUCCCGCGGCUGCCGUGUCAAUAACCUGGGUCGGGGGUGCAUCAUGUGACGUUUGAACUGGGUCUAAGCCUGAAUCAUGUUGAAGGGCAUGAUGUUUGUUUUUCUCGAUGAUGGCUGGAGCACUUGUGAACUCUGGUGUAGAUAACGAAGCCGACUUGGUUAUUGUUAAUUCUUGACUUUGAUUAAAAUCAUUUUCAAAAAAUAUGCAGUCUCGCAAAAUAAUAAUUUUUCCGGAUCUUGGAUUAUAAUAAAUAUACCCUCGGUGGUGCGAUGGAUAUCCGAGAAAAAUAUAGGGGUCCGUUCGAAAGGAGAAUUUAUUUUUCCGGGUUGGUCUCAAAUUAGGAUAGACGAGACAACCAAAUACCCGGAUAUCUUUGUAAUUUGGGACUGAAUCGUACAUUACUUCAAACGGCGAUUUUCCGGCAAGAGUGGACGUCGGCGUUCUAUUAUAAAGGAACGCGGCAGUGUGAAAGGUGUACUGCCAGAACCGGAGAGGAAGAGCACUGUGAUGAAGGAGUACGAGCCCAAUGUAGACUAUGUGCUUGUGUCGUCGCUCGACUGUACCCAUCUGAGCGUGGGCAUAUGGACAGGAGAAUCGGUGUUCACUUCAGCAACAUAAGUCCUGAAGGAUCGAAACUCACCAUCGUUAUCAGACUGAAUAGUCUUAAUUUUAUUUCAUGUUUGUUUUUCAACGUAUGCUCUGAAUAGUUUGAAGGUUUGCAGAGUAUCAGACUUGGAUGUCAGGGGAAAAAGUCAGUUAUAUUUUGUGUAACCAUCCACGAAAUUGACGAAGUAAUAGUGACCUUCAGUGGAUGGCUCAGGUGCCGGUCCUCAUAGGUCAAUGUAGAUUUAAGUCAAGAAGUUGUUUAGCCGAGUUUUCCUGUCUUGAAGGAUGAGGAAGACGGUGGUGUUUACCGGAGAUGCACAAAUGACGAGCAGAAAUUUGAUUUUUAUUUAACUUUAGUAAAUCAUAUUGCUUUACAAUUUCUAAGGUUAAUUUUGGUGAUAAGUGACCCAGACGAGCAUGCCACAGAUCAACCGAAACCUUGCCCACUGUAUUGACCUCCGGCUGUGCCGAAUUUUCCAAGUCCAGCUCAUAUAGUCCGUGCCUGUCCACCUUCCCCUGAGCUAUAACAUCUUCAGUAUGCAUAUCAAUUACAUAGACAGAUGAUGAUUCGAAGAACAUCCCAAAAUUAUUAUCUUUACAUAGCUUGUUCACUGAUAAAAGAUUCCGAGAAACCGAGAGAACAAUCUGCAGAUCUUUUAAAUCAACCUUCUUUGAACCUAAUUUGAAGGUCACAUCUCCUACUUUGGAUGCUGGAAUUACUGAGCCAUUCACAAUUGUAAUUCCUGAUGAUUUUAAUAGAGGUUUAGCAAAUUGAAUAAACCUGUCAUUACUUGAUACAUGACCUUCCACUCCGCUGUCAGAAUUCCAGAGAGCGUUGAUUUUCUCCGGAGUCGCAUAACCAGUUGCUUUCUUUCCAAUAGACAACUGCUUUGCUCAAUGUUUCGGUGGAGAAGGGUAGAGAUCCUCAUUGUGUUUAUUGUGACAUGCGAUAGGUAGAUGCCCCUUCUUGGUGCGGAUUUGGCAAGAAACACGCUCUUUCUUGUACGAUUUUGUCAUGUUCACGGAUGAAAAAAGCUUGAGACAGACCACAGACUUUAGCGUUUCUGAUUUCUUGAUUCAUGAGGAGUACCCGCAUUGUUUGAAUGGUCAUGGUGGCUAGCUGAGAAGAGAUUACUGCCACAAUGGACUCAAAGUCAGAGUCUAGACCUCCGAUGGCAUACAAAAUAAUUUCAGAAUCGGAGACCAUAACGCCCCCUGCUCGAAGAUCCUGGACCAAUUUUGUUAUCCUAAGGAGAUAGGCUUCUAUCGAUGACUCACCUUUCUGCAGUGUCUGUGGUUGAUGCCGGAUCUGUAGAAUUCUCGAGCCGAACGAGGAGGCAUGAAUUUCUUGCAGAGUUGACCAUACGGAUGCCAAAGAAUCAAGGCCGGUUACCUGUGAUAACACGCUCGACGAUAGCGUCGAGAAGAUCCAUCCAAGAACUAUUUGGUCUUGUUGGAUUUUGAGGUCGUCGUCUAGAACGAUCAAGCCUUCAACGUACGGGAGCAAAUCAUACUCGUAUAACAGAGUCUUGACCUAUGCUCGCCAGUUGAAGAAGUUGUUACUGGUAAGUUUUUCCACGCUUACUUGUUUAAUCUUAACCAGUUUGACCUGCCGUAGGGAGCUGUUGGUGGAAUCGGUAGCCAUGACCGAUCACUGAAGCAAGAACCUCGGAGGGAGAAGAACUUAAAAAAAACGAACAGCGACUCAAACGACCCAAGAUCGGAAAGUCGAACAACUAGCAUCUGAUACCAUAUUACAACGAUAUUCAAUUGAUCUGUAUUUGAGUGAGUUUGAACGUUAAUUAUAGUACUUAUUUAUAUUAGUAAUAGUUAGUUACAACAACUACUAAUUUGUUAGUUGUCCAAACGGAUUAGAUUUGCCUAAUCCGUAACAGCCCCCAGAGGUCCUAUAAAAGGGGACUCCGGGCUCAAUCCAAAGGCAUCGGUUCCAUCAAUUUUAGAGCGUAAUUCACGAAGCAAUCACCGAUUUCCUUCCAGAAGACUUGACGUAAAACGCACGUCGUGGAUUUCAGAGGCUCCGACAUGAGAUGGUAGCUGCUCGCACCACUGUGACCGCUGGUAGGACUUUCUAUUUCUCAUCAGACUCACACUUCAAUCAUCCAAAGACAGAGUUAUAGAAAGAAUUAGUUUUCGUAGGUUCUCCUUUAAUCGUUGAUUUCGCUCUUCCCAGAUUUGCCAUGAAAUGACCACCAUGUUACACCAGUAUAAGCCUGUAAACCUCAAUAUUUCGAUAUUAUAGUGAUGAAAUUGAAAGAGAUUGCAAAUUUGCAAUGUUUUCGAAAUCCAUGACUUGCGGCAUUAAUUGUAUAGCAUUCUCUACAAUUUCCACGAACUUUUGUAGAUCCACCUGGAGUAAGCACAAUUAAAAAAAGAUGUGAUUAUUCUGCUUGUGGACAACAAAGAAAAUAUAUAUCGUCGAUGACAUUUGUAUCAUUAAUCUGAGGUCGAUCUAGAGGUGGUAAUUUCCUCAAACGUAGAAAUUGAUUUUGGGGAUUAUGCACGCCCAAACACUUUCUGUAUAUAUGUAUCGAUCCUUCAACCUUUUUAAUUGUAUUGUGCACGCUAAUGAUGUUGCGUAAGGAUGAACCAGAGUCUCUGCCCUGCUAAUUAAAAAUACCCAGUGGCACACAAUCCAUACAUUCCCCAAUUAGGUCACGAUGCUUUAUUUUGCAUCUCCAGCAGGAGGCGUUCGUAUCAUUAUAUUUUUUUGCAUUUCAUUCAAUGUCGAGUCUUUGACAUACCUCUUCAACAUCCAUCUAGCCCAUAUGUUCUUAUCGGUCAUGAGUCUUCCCACUCUUUGCACAAUUGUUGAUUUUUAAUCAAAUGUCUUCAAAACAGCACAUCGAUCCCAAUCCCUCCCUCAUGCCGAAGAUAAAUCAUGGAGCUCCAAGCGAUCUCGUGCUGUAUUCCUCACAGGAAAUUUUAAUGCCACCGAUCUAAUCGUGUCUAAAGUGUGUUGCGGAAUUGACGAGGACUGCAUCAAGUAGUUGGACUUCCCUCUGAAGACCCAUUGGAUAAAUUGGACUCGAUCGGCGUAUGAUAGAUGUAUAUCUAUUGUUUCAUCUUGUAAGGAGAGAAUGUAGACUAGUAAUCAAGUAUGCACGUACAAUCUUUGCGUCAAAUUCCUCUACCGGUAAUGGGAGCCUCAAGAUGAUUUAUCGAUAAAGAUUUGUCCGAAAAUCCAAUAAUAUUGCUUAGAGCAUCACUAUACUCUAGUCGAAUAUAUCACAAAACUCUUUGUAUCUCAUCAAAGCGCUACUGAUCUUGGCUGUGGGCGAAGGUCUGUUUUUUCAUAGUGUAUAUUCACCCACAGACCAGAGAAAUUUGUGAAUUCAUUGAGUACCUUUCGCAGAGCUUGGAAGGAUUUUGGUGCAGAAAAAAUUAAUAUCACACGUUUAAAUUAAAUGAGAUUCAACCAAAGCACCUCCCAUCGUGUAUAACUCGAGCCUUCUAUCUUCAUCCGCAACUGCUGUGAGGCGGGAGAUAUAUAUAUUCCAUAGAAAUAAUAAAUAGAAGGGGUGACAAUGGAUCUCUUUUUCGUAUUCUAUGAUUCUUAGAAAAAACAAUUAUUGACGAGCCCUCAACAAGUGCUGAAAAUGAAGACGAGGAAACACAUGCCAUGAUCAAUUAACGGAACGGAUCAUUUUACCUGAUGGUGCCAAGAUAUUUCUAGUACUCAGUUGAUCUCCCAAAGUCGAAGGCUAGCUAGGUCACCAAUCUUCCAUCUUCCACUCUUUGGUAUCUCGUAGUUCCCUUUGGAAUGGCCAAGAACCUCUCCCAUAUCUUAAACCUAUGGGAUAUAUAUAGCGGGUCAUCACAUGGGACUUUCGGUCUUGGGCUUUGUGGGCUUGGACUGAUAUAUGUUCUUAGGCCUCUGGACUGGGGGUAUCAUCUGUACCCUAUAAGUUUCAUGGACAUCUGACCCCAUCUAAUGGUAUCAAAGGCUUUUCUAAAGUCUACCGAUGUCAUUGCCCUUCUUGAUUUUUUACGUUGAACCCCGUUGUAAUUAAACUCCUGAGUUAAUGCAAUGUUAUUGUCACUAAUUCGACAGUUUAGUAUAGAGAAAUUUGAUUCGACGAUAUCAUAUAUAUUUGGUCACCUGCUAGCUAUCCCAAAAGCUUUCAACCUUUUUUGGCGAAUAUGGUUGAAGCAACUUUUCAAACGAUGGAUGGAUUAACAGCAAGGGGAGAAACCUGCAAUCUAAUCUUCCAAUUAUGUGAAUUGGACAAUGAAUCAAUAGAACAUACAUUCUUUACUCAAAUUGGAUCAUCAAUGAAGGUUUGAAGACAUUGUGAGUUGUUCAUCUUAAAAUUAAGGAUAUAUACCAUCUUUCUAAAUGCUUCCUAAGAUAAGCAGUACUAUCCUUUGGUUUGACAACAAACAUUGAUUUACAAUGCAAGCAUUUAGCUUUGCGGACAUCACUCGCCAUAAAAACAUCAUAAUUUUUCCAAACAUCAUAUUUUAAUUUGCUCUUUAAAUCAUUUACAUCGUUAAUAUCUUCAUUUCUCUGAGAUGGACUAACCCUUAUAAAAAAUUUAUAAUCCUACUAAUUAAUGACUAAUGAUAAGUAUUAAACAAGUUAUAGAUUGAUAAAAAAAUAGAAAGAAAUAAUAGUUAGAGAAAUCUAAUUUCUAUUUAGUUAGCUCUAAACAUGGAAUAAAACUUCUCAUUGCCUUCAACUUCAUUUUUAAGACAUAAAUAUGAAAGACAUUAACUCCAGUCUCUAGUAACGAAUACAUUAAAAGGAAAAAAUAGCUAAGCAAUAAAGGUUUAUAACAAAAUGUGGUUUGAAUGAAUGCACCACAAAUGAUUCAAUGUAAAUCUGUGAAAUAACUAGUGAAUCAUGACUGCAAGCAACAUUAGUGUAAAAUAUUGUAGUAAAAGUAAUAGAGAUGCAUAACUAAAAGCAAAUGUUUAUCACUUUGUUUGAUUCUUAAUCAAACACAAUCUAAAUACUAAAAAUCCAAAUGAAAUACAUUCAUUUAUAUCAAGAAAACAUGAUGAUACUAGGAGUAAUGGAGAAGAUAUAUGGUGAUAUGGAUAUGUUGGCUGGUCGUCGAUUAGGACGAAAGACAUGCGACUUAGUUUUUUAGGGCUAUUAGGUUUAGGCAGAGGUUAGGGUUUACUGUGAACUAUGUGAGAAUGUGAUAGUGUGAUCAGAUCUAGAUAUAUAAGAAUUAAAAAGUUUAUUUUUUAAGUUUUAAGUACGUCUUAACUUUUUAAUUAAGUUUAAGUUUUAAGUCACUUUAAAAGUUAAGACUAUAAAUUACUAAUUUACUAUAAUCUAAUAAAAGUAUAAAUUAAUAUUUAAUGAUAGGAGAAAUAUUAAAAGAAAGGUUGUAUCUUAUGGUCACCCUUGGCGAGUUAUUUCUUCAAAAGAAUUUGACAUUUUGAACUAUUAAUUAAAAUAAAGACAUUUUGAGAUAUAAAAAAGUAGACAUUUUUCAUUUUUCAUUUCGAAUUAUUAUUUUUCCUGAUAGAUAUACAUACUCAUAGAUAAUCAUAUAUAUACAAUUAGAUUCAGAUGCGUCAAUACGUCAUGUCUCAGUGGGCCGAUUAAAUAAUAACGAUAAACGAUUUAAAUAAAUAAAUAUUGAUAGAGAGAUGAUCCGAAGACAUGAUGAAUGAUUGCUUGAAUGAAGAUGCUUGUGCGGAAACGAUGAGAGAUUCAAUGAUAACGAGAGAAUUGCAAUGUGUGUUGAUAUGUAAAAUAUUAAAAUAGAGAGUUAACCACUAAUGAAGACCUAAGUGUGUUUAAAUAGUUAAACACCCAACGACCAUGUUUGUUGUGUGUUUAAUUAUUCAAUGGAAAGUCAUAAAUGACAUGUCGGGAUGUGAAGAAUAUUCUAAAAUGGAAUGUGAAUGGUUGUCAACUUGUCGUGUGUAUGAAUGAAGGGAAAUGAAAUAAUAUUAGAGUGUGUAAUGUGUAAUAGUUUUUGACUUUUUUCUUGCCCCGACCCGACCGCUGCCCCAGUCCUCUUCUGCCACAUUUUUCGGAAUGGAUCUCAGGGCAAGACUACGACCCAUUCUCAACCCUACCGUAAGUAUUAGAAAAAGAGAAAUGAAUGAAUUAUUAUUCAUUUAUAGAAACUAAAAAUAUAGAAGAAAAAUAGAAUGAAGAUAAUAGAAAUGAAGAUUUGAUAAUGGAAAAAUAAACUACCGAAUUUUUUAAGGGAUGUGAUAUUUUUUUGUGUUUACCAGAAAAUUUCAAGUCCAGCAAGCAAUGAUGUAACAUUAUUACAAGCCAAACACUCACGAGAAAUAAAUGAAAAAUAUCAAUGACAGCCUAACACCAUCUAGCCCUUUCAGCCUCUUGCCAAAUCUGCAGUUGUUCCAUAUCUAUCCAUUACCUUCCUUGUGGCAAGUGCAGCAGCCUCGCUAGCCCGCAUUGUCCCUGAAGCCAUUAAUUCACUAAACUCCCUAGUUAUCUCAUCCUGCACCUUAUUUCUAGCUGAACCAAGUGGGUCCACCAUUGCCUCUCCAGAAGGAGGCUGCUCUUUCUUGCUAGUCUCAAUAGCCCCAUCCUUUGAAGACACACAAGUAUCUACUUUCUGAUUAUUGGAUUUUGAUGGGGAUUGUCCAGCUAAAGUUGAAGAAGCCAUGGGAUUCAACUGAGGAGCUUGAGGAACAGAACCAGCCUUCAAAGUAGUUUCAAGCUGCUGAAACAUGGGAACUGAAAAAAAAUACAAUCAUUAUCAUCCACUAAGCAGACAUUCAAUUCAAUUGUAUGUUUUCAGAUGAGAAUAACUUACGUAUCAAAGGACUCAAUGGACUAUUCAAAACCUCAUUAGGAAGCUGAAGGAUAUAAUCAGGAAUGGAAACCCCAACAAGAAACUGUGCGACUUCAUUGCUGAAGUUAUUGCAAUUGUGACUAAAUAAGUUGUAAGUCUCCAUUGUAUAGCGUGGAGCAAUUUCACGCAAGUAUUCAUCAAAGAGGUCUGAUGGUACAUGCGUUAUUCCGAGAUUAAUUACCUUUACUGGCUUUCCGUAUGGUGUUUUCCCAGAUGGAGUGCAUUGGAUUCCACCUCCAAAGAAGUAUUCAUUUCCAUACACUACCAAUCCCGUGUGCCUAAUUCAACAUAAAUAUCUCAAAAUCAUUCUAUGUUUUUUUUUAAUUAAAAAAAAUCUAAAAUUCAACAAAUCAUGAGAUCAAUACAGUAAGUAACACACAAACCUAAUCAUAAAUCAUAAUAAAUAGUUGUUAACAACUAAGUGUUUAUAAGUGUUGAAUUUUUACAAGGUCAAAGCAGCGAAGUGAAGAACAAGUCCAUGAAUUAAAAAAACUAUUUUAAUUUAUGUAAUAUUUCUGACGAGAAUCCUAACAUGUAAACUAAAUUAAAGAAGCUAAAGUCCAAGUAUUUCAUAAAUAAAAAUAAUAAUUGAAGUCUAAAUUAACUAUGUACAGAUCUACUCCAACUUCUCCAAGUCUUAAAACUGUAUUAAUCAUAAUUUUCCAAGAUCUAAAUUUUCAUAAUUUUCGUCGAUUCCAUUGGUUCUACAUACAACAGACUAUACCCACCACCUACUCUUAAGCACUUACACUACAAAAAUCAAAAUUCAAAAAAUCGAUUAAGGUUGAAUAUCUAUAUAUUAUCGUAGUGAAUCCAAUAAAAAGUAUCCAAUAAGGGGAAAUUUUUUACCAAAUCCCAUCGAUCGUCUUCCCCAACAAUGUCGACGAAAACUGACGAGCAAGCCCUUGGCUGAGAUCAUACACAUUCAAAACAACCUUGUUAUCCUCCUGCAAUGCAGAAAAAGAAAUCGUCACCAAAGAACUUCCCAGAUCGACAAAACCAACGACGCCAUAAACAAAUCUUUAAAAAAAAAACUGCGAAUAGAUCAACGAAAUCGGACAUCACCUCCGCCAUAUCGUACAAAAAUCCAGAGAAUGAGUAGCCGGAUCGGAGAAGGAUCUACGCACCGAGAGAGAAAGGGGAAAAUAAAAUGAACAGACAAAACGUUGAAGAAUGAAAACACAGGAGAGAAAAAAAAUAAAAAUAAAUGUCUUUCUUACUUGGCCUUCAAGAUGUAAUAGAAAACGGACGCGUGUCAUUAAUCUAGUGGUUAAUUGAAAAAAGAAAGUUCUAGAAGACCGUCAUGAUCUGGAUUUACAACAAUAAUUGACCCUUUAAAGUUUAAACUAAAGGAUUUAUUUGUAAAAUUCCCUUCAUCUUUUUUCUCAAUUACCUAUCAACGUUCAAACAAAGAAUUAAACAUCCAUAGCCAUUGGCAACAAUGGCAAGUGGCAAUUGAACUUUGAACAUAAACAAUCAAGAAUUAAUACUUAAUGAUUUAUAAUACAAAUGUUGAAGAAGAUCAGUAGAUGAUUGCUUAAUUGCAGGAAGAGUCAAUCAGAAUUGCAACUACUAAAAAACUCUACAGGUAAUGUUGAAGAAGAUCAGUAGAUGAGUUCCUUAAUCUACAGCUCUGUCCAAGGUGAACAUCUCCAAAAACAUAUCUGUCAUAACAAAACAUAUUAAUACAUAAAAUGAAAGAAAACAAAUCAACUUCCAGUUCUUUAAAAGUUUAAAAUUGAAGUCAUAAAGCAUACAUACCUGUAUUCACAAUGCUCGGGCCAUGAACAUCGAGCUUUGCCAUAAUCCCAAUAACAAUCAACGUCUCUCAAUGGUCCACGUACGGCUGCUAAUAUUGAAAUGUAUGAGAGGUUAGCUGGCUGUUUUCAUCGAUGCAUGUGUAUACAUUGGUUUAUUUGUCCAUUUUAAUGAAUCUUGUAAUGUAUUGUGUGCCAUACCGCCAUCAAUGAUUUAAGGAAUUAGAAGUUUAAUACUUCAUUUUAAAAAUUUGGUCAUUAGAAGUUUAAUUGUUUUAUAUGCAAUGCAUAUCACUCCAAUGAACACAACUUAUAACCACUUUCAUUUACCAGAUGAAAUUCUACAUGGAUAUAACUAUAUCACCUCUCCAUGAAUUCAUUAUGAUGUAUACACAUGGAUAUAACUAUCAUGAAGAAAAAUUAUAACCUUUGGUGACGAAUGAUGACUGCAUAUUAGGAUGUAUAUCAUGCCACAUCUGAAGCCACAACUCACGCAUCAAAACUUGCAUCCUCACAAUGUUCCUGUGGUUUGCUACAAAUGUAAAAAAAUUAUUAACAUCUUUGUCAAUCAAUAAAUAAAGUCAAUCGUUUUUAGUAAAAUCUUUAUUCAUGUCUCACCUUUAUCAAGCUCCCAUACAGCUGUCUUCCUCCCUGGCCUACUUUCAGCAUCUUCAUAAUAGGUUAUGUAUUUUACACGAGAAGCUCUGGUCAUGUUUGGGACAAUGUCUUUGUCAUUUUCAUGCUCUACAUUAAGCUCGAUUUGUACAUCAGACCCAUCAUGUUCUGACUGCCAUUUAACGAUUGCAAAAGGACAAAAAAUCAUAUUCAAAACCAGAUAUGGAAAUGUUUUUGGAUCCAAAAUCAGACAAUUUUUAUUCUUAUUUUUUUAUAUUAUCCCACCAAAUCUGAUAAUCAGACAUUGAAUGCAAGUGUAAAAAAAAACUUUAAUGAUUUAUCAAACAUCCCACAAUAUUUCCAUUACUCCAUUUGAAAUGUAUAUUAGCGUUUAUGCGGGUGUGUGAUAAGAAUUACUUGCUGUAAAAGUGUGGAUCCCCAAAUUCAAAUAUGAAACAAUGCGGGUGGUUAUUCUGAUCUAUAAGUCACAACAAGCCCUAUUAUUUGCAUUAAUAUAGAAAAUUACUUAAUUAUCAGAUUAAUAUUAUAAACAAUACGAUAAGAAGAAACAAUCAAUUUCAUAAAGAAAGAGUACCUGUGGAGCUCUGGUUAUAUUAACUUUAGGCCCAAGCCAGGUCUUGCACCAUGAGAGGGAAUUAUAUGAUACCUGCCACAAAACAUUGGUAGCUAAUUGUUAAAGUCCAAAAUUUGCAUUUUAGUGUGACAUGGAACCCAAGAAAUAUGAUUUCCGCACAUACAGUUUCAUCACCACUUGCAGCUCCAGGGUUUCCAUUGACAGAGUUUCCUGAUCUUGAAACAUUACAAAUUCAGACGUAAGAAACUAACUGAACAUGUAAAAUAAUAAGAAAAUUCCAUUAAGUUACACAAGAAAAUAAUAAAGGGAAAAUAAAAUAGAGUGAGAGAUGGACUUGCAUUCUAUUAGCAUUAUUUCUAGUAAUUCUGCUUGAUUAUGCUCUUUUUUGUGGACCUCUCGUUUGAAAGACAGGCUGGCUGACAUCCCUGACUACUUCCCUGAAUAGAAUCUCGGCUGACCUUACCUUUUAUGGGUCUUAAGCCUCCUGCUUCUUUCUUCCCAUAUGUUCCAGUCCCCAGCAAACAGAAUGGUGGCUGAAUUUUUGACAAGAUUCUGUGUUAUUUCCUAUUUUAAUGUCUGUACUCUGUAUGUAGAGAAGAUGGGACUGAGUUCCCAAUUUUCCAGAGUAAGUGCCCUAAAGUUUAUGCAGUUGCUAGGAGGAUUUUUAUGGUCUAUUAACAAUUGAAAAAGAGUUGUCUGGUUGUUUCCCUCUCCUUAUUGCAAAGGAGGCAGGUUUUUUGGGUGUUGAUUCUCCACCCUUGUAGUUUGGAAAAAGUGUUUAAGAAUACGUUUUUAAUUCUCCAUAAAAUUAUGGAGAAUUUUCAAUUUUGUGAGCAUGUGGUACCAACUACCAAAUGCCAUUGGCUAAUAGAUCCUUCUGUCAGAUUUCCCUAAUACACUGCACAAUACUUCCAAGUUCCAAGUUUGUUGUUUACUAAUAAUAACCUAUAGUUGCUUACACAAUCAAGGCAUUCCUCAAUUUCUGUUUUUUGGUCUAUGAUGUGAUUCUAUAAGGAGGAGUUUACUGUGAAAAGGACCAUUUGAGACCAGGGUACAUCUUUCCUUUAUCUCAAAUUAACUGGUAAGCAAGUUUCCAUACUUUUUUCACAAUAGAAACAGGGAGGGAGAUUCCUUGAUCCCAAUAGAUGUACAUUCCAACAAUUACCCAAUUUACAAAAUACAAAUUGAAUCCUCUCUCCUUAAGAUAGACAUCUACGACUCCAUUUUACUAGAAGAUUCUCGAUAGGAUAAAUAAGUUCCAGCAUUAGUGGUAGGUCUUCUUUUUGCCUGUUAUGGGGAGCAAAGAUACAUUAUGGGUAAAUGUUUAGUCUAAAAACCUAGGAUAUUUUGCAAUUCCAAGUUUCCCUCACAAACUUUGGAGAAGGUUGCAGAGCUCUUGGUCUUGUUUACCUCUAGACCUGAGAAUUGGGAAAACUCUUCAAGGAUAUUGUUAAUGAAUCUUAAGGAUUUCUUGUUUGCCUUGGUAAAGAGGCAAACAUCAUCAGCAUACAUUGUGUGAUGGAGAUUAAGCCAUUGACUUGAUAGGUGUCUGGACUCUGGUGUCAUAUUGCUUUUGACUAACAUUAUUCUUAAUUAAUCUACUCAGAACAUCCAUUACUAGGUAAAAGAGGAUGAGUGAUAGUGAGUCUUAUUGUCCGAUCUCCCCAUUGACUGUUGAAAGGGGGGGUAGGGCUGCACUCUACCAGAACUUUGAAAGAGGCAGAUAUAGAGUUCUCUACUAUAUCUUAUAGUCAAGAGACUACAAAAUCAAUGCGAGAGAUUUCAGAAUUUGAUGGAAAAAAUCACCUUACAAAUUUCUGAUAAUAAACAAUCAGAUCAGCCUACCUUCCAAAGGACAAUUUCAGUUUAUAAUAAGUUUGUAUCUUAUCUGAUGAAGACAAUUUUGUAAAUAAAAAUCUAAAAUGUGAGAUCUUGAGAUAUUUCAAAAUAUAAUUACAAGUGAGAUUCCUAGAGGUUUGUUAAUUUUUUUGAAAAUACAAGAUUCCUAGCUACUGACGUGUUGCAGCUGAAAAUGAAUAUAUGUACGUUAUACAGAGACAUGAAAUUCAUAGAUUUAUAUAGGCCAGAUGAUGCACUUGGAGCCAAGGUUUUUCAUGCGGGACAGAACCUUCAGGCGAUAAUCCUUCGGAACUGCUUAACUAUUUAAAUUAAAAUAAGCUAUAUCAAGUUGUAUUAAAGAAGACAGAAAUCUCAUAUCGCAAUUUCUACAAUGAGACAACCAAAUACACCUCCAACCUUCCAGCAGACAUUGGCCUUCCUCUGGCAAUCUUUCAGCAACCAUGCGACCAGCUCCAGCCAUUUCUUACAGCCAUAAACCAUCUUCCACACCUUCCAUCCCUGUCUAGGUUAAUUUUCAUUAAAAUGUAAAUGAAGGGAAAUGCCCUGUACUAUUUAGUAAGGAAAAAAUAAUAUAUGGGAGAUGACCAAAAGCUCAUGGACCCUUUCCUAUCCAGAUGUAGUACAUAGUGGUUUAGUAACUAAGUUGUUUACCUAAGGAGGUUAGUCUCCUAAAUCUGCAUUGUAGUCUCCUCCAAUUAUGAGCCACAGUUUUUCCUAAAGAUUCCAUAUAUGAAGGAAAGACUAGUAUCUUUUAUGAUCUAGGUUAAUUAAUUAUUAGGUUGUAAUGUUGUAUUGGUUAGCCAUAGGUACAUAUAAGAUUGCAGGGAAAAUUAUUCAAAAAAAAUCGAACUCAUGUGACUAGUUCCAUAACAUGACCGCAUGAACACCUGUAAAAGCUUGCUUGAAAGAAGAAGUGCAUCAACACAAAUCAAAAGAUGCACAAUGUCCUAGUAGCUAGUAGAAAACAGGUUUUUGAGAGGACAGGAAAGAAAUAACCAUUUUAUCCAAGAAACUGAAGAAGGAUAAGAAGAAUAUUCUACGUCUACUUCUUAAAAGAAGUUUGGCUAAAGGUAGAUUGAUUUUUUAUAUUUAUUAUCAAGUACCUAUACUAGAAGUAUAAACAUAUGAUUUUUUAUGUCCACCGCUAUUUCUAGAUAUACUUAAGACUGGACGCCACAGUGUUGUUGAAUCUAUGAAGGGACUCCAAACAAUGAAUAAAACACAGCCUUUGACCUUAAUAAUAGCAUAUCAUUCAAACUAAUGACGUGAAUCGCCACUGUUUAAUUCUCAAAGCAAACUGAAAAUACAUAAAGCUAGAAUAAGAAUGGUUACAAUAUUCCGUACCGUGAAAACAAUGAACCUUCGUAUUCAUAAAUUAUAUCAGAGAUCAUCCAAUUAUCAGGAUAUGGUUUGCCACUUGGAGCAAAAUAGUAUCCAACCUGUUUUGCAUAAAAUCAACAGACCAUUAACAGACAUCAUAAAAAAGAGUAAAAUAGAGUGGAGAAAUAUGUGGCUUCUGAGAAAGAACGGCUCCUUUCUCUGAAAAAUCAAAUAUCAUUUAUGCAUAGAAAAGACAACGAAUCUAUAAUCAUAGACAAUUAUAGUGGAUUUUAUAUACCUCAGUCUUUAAAUCAAUCCCAUAUAUGCAAAAAAUAUUCUUUAUUGGUGGCCUAUCCCAUGGAGUAAGUGGGUUGAGCACAGGAUCACCCUGAUAGUACCUAAAUAAUAAUAAGUAAUGAAAAACCUAUAAGCAAACAAAAUAUAACAACACCAUCCAUUUCUUGCAAACAGCAAGACUUUAGAGUUUAGAUAACUGAAGCUAUAAAAUAAAAGAAGAAUGUAGUAUUAAGAAAAUUAAGCAUUGUUGAUUCCUAUUCACGUUUUUUUUUCUCACUUUAAAUUUUUCCACACCCUCCUCUAAGAUUUUAAGAAUACGUAAUUCACCCAUCAAUUUUAUGAAAAAGAGGCAGUGAGAGAAUCUUUCCUGCCAGACAGAUUUGCUAAGGGCAUUGGGCCCAUUGCCCCAACAAAUUCUCUUUAUCUACAUAGAGAUUUACGUGGGGCAAUAUUCUAACCAACAAGGGUGAUCAAGAUCGUGAGAUGGAUCGGUGAUGGAAUAGAGGAUGCGAUGAAGAGAUUUCUUUUAUUAAAAAAACAAGCAAGAAGUAUCUUCAAAGUGUACAAGAAUGGAAAGUAAAAAAAUGCCAAAUACAAUUAACGUAACGAAGAAGACUGAGAACGGAUGCCGAGAGCGAGCGAUCACAACGGGCGGCCGGAAUCCACCAGCUGAUGAUAUCUGGAUUCCACCAGGAGUAUUAGAGAGAAUCUUGGAAGGGGAAGAUAGUAAAGAAGAAGAUUGGAUAAUAGUAAUACCUGUAACAAGUAAAUUAUCCACCCCAUUUGCUUUGGCCGUCCUUCCUUAAAUAGCUCUCCUUCCCUCAUUCGGUUAGUAACGACUAACUGACUUGACUCUGCUGGAAUCGAUUGGGCCUGACGUUCCAGCCUCUGUCCCUACAUCAAAGGGGUACUUGAGUCGAAGAGAUCCUAGCAGAGAGAUCUCUAUUCUGUACAGAAAUGGGGUGGAAGAUCAGAAUGAUCUAUUUUUCCUUCCCUAAUUGCCGAUGCAUUUGGUCUGCAGUAGUCAGCAAGAGAGUCGCCUAGUCGCCUAGGUCUGCAUUUGGUUUGCCGAUGCAUUUGGAUCUGCCUAACCAUUUAACCAAUAAAUUAUUAUAAAAUCUAAAAAAAUAAUUUUAAAAUCCGAUUUCCCCUUCUCCUUUUUCUUUAUCUUUCAGAAGACGCCACCUAUCUCCAGCCCAAGCUUUUAAAUGCGUGAUUGCGUUGUGUGCCAGGACCUGAUGCACUUAAGCGUGGUGCACUGCCACUUAAGUGCGCCUCAGGUGCCAGGGGUAUUUUGGUAAAUAACUAAAAAAUAUAUAAAUUUCAUAUAUUUAUAUAUGAAUUUCAGAUAUCCAUAGUUUUUAAUAGUAUAGCACUAAUACAAAAUACUUAAAUACUUAAAUUAAAACUUCAAGUGAGAUCACCGGAGGAGGGAGCAUAGAUUGGGGGAGGAUUGGGAAAGAUUUGGGGAGGUUUUGGGGUGUUCCUUGACGUUUUCCAGUUCUGGAAUACACAAGAGCCCUAAAUUAAACCUUUAAAUGAAUCGGAUCCGGUCCAAGACCCGACCUGGAUCCGAUUAAGGACCAAUACUUGGAGGUGCCUUGAAAAGCACCUCCUGGUAGCAUGCACAUUUAGAACCAUGCUCCACCCAUUUCCAAAACUCCUCCAGUGAACCUCCAUUCCUCCGACAAGUCUCCAGCAAGCUCCGGCGAGCUUCAGCAGACUCCAACUACCUUCCAGUAAGUUUAAGAUUAGAUAAUGUGAAUUUUAUUUUAUUUAUAUUCUAAAAAUAUAGGUAUUGAACUAUUGAUGUAUAAAUAUUAAUAAGUGCAUGUAUAAGAUUAAGAUUAUAUAAAUAUUAUUUAGAAAAUUUCCUUUGAUUUAUGCAACACCUAGACGUAGGCCUGUAAAUGGUAUACUGAAAUCCGUAUUUGUAUCCGCUUUCGAAUUCGAAUAUGUCUAUUCGAAUUCGGAUUUCCGGAUUCCGGAUAUGGAUUCGGAUACCAAAAAUGAUAUCAGGAAAUUAUCCGGACGGAUUCGGAUAUCUGCAAUAUCCGUCGUUAAAAUCCGAAUUCCGUUGAUAAUUCUGGAUACGGAUAUCCGAAUAAAUAUAUAAUAAUAAUAUUUAGUAAUAUUAUUAGUAAUUAAUAAUUGUUAUUUAUAAACUAAAUUAACUUUUAUUAUUAUUUAGGAUUUUAGGAUGAUUAAUUGAUUGUUAACUUUAUUGAAGGUGAUUUUAUACUUUUAUACUUUUAUUUUAGGGUUUUCUAUAAAAAUUUAUCCGAAUUCGGAAUUUCCGGAUAUAUCCCGAUAUUAUUCGGACGGAUUCGGAUUAUCCGGAUAUUAUCUAGAUUCGGAUACCAGGGUAUCUGAGCUGAAUCCAUCCGAUGUACAUGCCUACCUAGGUGCCAGACAGUCAUGUGUCAAGCUCAAUCGCAUGAGUAAGGCCCCACCCCAGGCCUACCUAAUCUUCAUAGAGUGGUUUUUAUACAUUCACCUUUAAAAAUUUUUGCAAGAAAAUAUAAUAUAACCAUAAAUUAAUUAUUAACCCAUUAUUAUAAGUAGAUGAUAUUAAAAAUUUAUCUAAUCUAUAUAAUAAGUAAAAAAAUCUCUUGCGGCAAGAUAAUAAAAAUAGCCUGGGGUCCAACUAAAUCUUGCCUCCGCCAUCGCCUGUAAAAUCUUAAUAUUCAGUAUGAUGAGGAAUUGGAUUUCCAGCAGGACUUCACAGUUAGUAUUUGGUAACAGCAUUCCAGGUAGUUGACAGAACUUUCUCAGGAAGAAAUACUUGUUGGACAUUACAUGAAAUAUGUUCAAGGAUUUUCAAUGAGGAAAAGUAAAAGCAGAACAAUCUCGGAUAGAUUCCUUUCUCAUUUUCAAUUCAGUGAAAUUUAAGCAGCUCAUGAACUACAAUGAGGCAUAAUACCAUUGAGUUUAAAUCCCUGGUCAGUAUAGAAUUAAUAAUGACGAUCACAUACGAUGCGGAUGCACAUAUUGCAGCUGUAUGGAUGUGGAUCAACUAGAGACUUAGAGUAGUUUAAGUUCUAGUUUUCUUUUAGAGAUCCUUUGUUCCAUUAUAUUGGGUUAGUCUGUUUGUUUUCAUUUAAUGAAAAAAAUACUAUUUGCAAAAUAAAAAAAUUAAGCUUUAGGUAGAAAUUCCCAGAAAUCAAAACAUAAUUUAUGUGCAGGGUCUACUUACUUUUGAAGCUGAUAUAAGAGGCGUUUACUAUCUGGAUCAUAAUCUUUUAUUGCUUUAAAUAGGGUGCCAUCUGAUACUUCUCUGGCAGAGAAAGAUAAUAGGACAGGCCGUCCACAUUCCAUGUUCGAAGUUAUUCCCGAUAUGUCUUCUAUUGAAGGGUAGGAAUUAACUCCUGGUGUAAAAGUAACAUUCCGUCAGGGAGCAUAUUAGCUUACCACCUUAUUCUGAGACUGAAUAUUAGAGAAACACCUUUAAAAGGAAUUUCAAUGUUAACAAUAUCCGUUGGCCAGCCGGAGUAGUUGGAUGUAAACUCUCUCUCAUCACAUGUGUGUGAGUGGUUAGAAUUUCCUUUUCCUUCGACAAAAUUUUUCCAAAAUACGUCAUCUGCCUUACAGUGUUUGGAGAACGGCAUAAACCAUAAAGUAGAACCAAAAGAAUUAUAUAGUAACCGAGAAGUUCCCUGGUAAAGUAGUAAGUUAUACAAAAAAUUCAAUGUAUUUAAAAAGAAAGAUGGUAAUGAUAUUUUUAUUUCAAUGAUAUUUUUUUUUUAUAAGGGUACUUUGAUUAAUAAAAGAGGUUUCAACAUUAAUACAUCCUAAAAUUAAAAAACAAUCAACUCGUGUUGACACCCACCACCUGUUCAUCCUUGUCAACCAUAACCAUAACCGUAGCAUCCCAAUGGAGCAAUGUCGUCACUUCGUGGUGAUUCCGAUGCAACUUCCGGUAUUUAGUCUCUUUUUAUCCAAUAUUUGUCGUCGAUAGACACUGCCUCGUCAGCAACUCCUUCCCUCUGAACUCGUUCCACUUGAGCCUGUAAUUCCUUUCUUGCCAAUUGCCAUAGUAGCCAAGCCACGAUCCCCAAUAGACACCAGUGAAGGCCCCAGCAUUUUCCUCCAACUGUCAUUGCAUUGAUGCCUGCCGCUACCUGCUUGAAAUCGCACCCAUCCGCAAUUGAAAUGACUCCACUUGUGGAUGGAUUUGAAAUACUCCAUGAGGACCGAAAUCAAGUACCCGCAACUGAAGAACAGAUGGUCGGUCGUGUCCCCUAGUAACCCACACAAUUGACAUUUGUCUACUAACGUCAUACCCCUCUUUGCAAGCUUGUCCAUCGUCGGUAAUUUCCUACACCUAAUUCACCAGAGCGUGAGCGACGCAAUUUGGACCCCAAUUGACCACAGACCCUUCGCCAAAUCGUCCUUAGCCCAUCUUUCAUGGAUUGUGAUGCAGUGAAUGACUCUGUUAUUAAUGCAUUUAUUCAGGAUUACAAAGUUAUCACAAGUGAGCCCGGUACUUCUCAAUUGGGCCAUGAUUGGCUUGACCAAGGUCAAGCCAAUUCACAUUCUCUGUAGAGAAUUGUCUGACUCAUAUCAAUUGGGUUUCCCAUUACCAAUGAUGUGAGUAUAAAUGCAAUGGACACAAAGGGAAGGAUCAUUAUCAAUUUUUGUGUCAUCAACUUAUUUUCUACUAUUGCUACUUUACUCUUUCUUCUACUGUUCUUGCUCUUUUCCUAAAUCUCUACUCUAAAUCUUGGUGGAUUCCAAGUCUUUCUUUCCUGAUCUGAUCAAAAGAAGAUCAUCUAUCUUCUUCUUCUCCAUUAUUCAGUUCUCAUAAGCAUAUCCUAUAUCAUAUUGUCUCACUGAUGUUUCCGAUCGACAACCCAUUGCCCCUUCCUUUCCAAGUGAAAGCUCCUCCCGCCCCUAGCUGAACUCUCCACGCCGAUGAGUCGUUGUAUCUGGGAUAUAUCGAGCCCAGUAACCUCCCUUUCACGUAGCAUUUGUUCAUCCAUCGACUUCAGAUACCAUCAUUCGCCAAUAGCCUGUAAGUUCUCCCAAUUGUGUCUGCGAUUUGAGACCCACGGAAGUCCGUAAUACCCAUCCCGCCUUCCUCUCUUGGCCGGAUCAUAUUUGCCCACAGUACCUCUCUCUACCUUCUCCAAAUAAACUAGUAGGUUGUCGAUUGGACCUCUCGAAUCGCAACCUCCGGCAUGUAAUUACUCUGAGUUAGGAACCCGAACUUAUCGUGGAACACCAGUUAUACUCGUCCCAGAUAGGACAGACAAUGGUCGUUCCAUCGGGCAAGUAUCCCCCUUAAAUCAGCAAUCAAAGUGUCACGGUCUUUCAUCGCUAGCGACUUCUCGAUGAUUGGUGUCCCCAAAUAGGUGAUUGGCAAAUUCUUGACUGGGAAACCCAGUUGGUUCGCAGUUCCGCUCCGUCAUCUACUCGUGACGAGAAGAUCGCGAAGCUCUUGUCUGUGUUUAUCUCCAAGCCUGAGAACGUGGUGAAAUCUUCCAUAAUUUCCUUCAGGGCUCGAAUUGACUUCUUCGAUACUCUACAGCAAAAGACAACGCCAUCUGCAAAAGCCAACAUCGACUCAAUUAUUACACCGUCUGAGGUGAAUAGCUCAAGCUCCCUUCUUCCUACUGCCACCCCUAAACAGGAGAUCGGUCGGUAUUGAUCGAGCGAGAAUGGCAUGUUGUUCUUUGGGAUUAGCGUUAAUAACGCAUGAUUCAUCGCUCGCAACAUCCACCUCGUUCGGAAGAAAUGCAGGAUUGUUGCCACCAAAUCAUUCCAUAUAAUUACCCACUGUUGAAUCAAGAUCUCCACUGUCAACCCAUCCAGUCCCGAGGACUUCCCCUUUGGCAUCGCAAAGAGGGUAUUCUUGAUCUCCGAUGAUGUCAAGUAGACUCUAAGCCUGGUGUUCGUCUCCACAUUGAGCGAGGCUUCAAACACUAUGUUUAGAUUUGGAAUUGGGGAGUUUCGACUUGGGAAGUCAAAUAAUAUUUUAAAGUAUUCUUCAUUUCCACCAACGACGCCGUCUGGUUCCCAUUCACAUCAAUUAGCCGCAUUAUUGAAUCUUUGGUCUGUCGUGCUUUCGUAUUCCUUACUAAGAACGCAGAUCUUUGGUCACCUUCCGUCAGCCAAAUGACUCUCGGCCUCUGCAUCGAGUCCAUAAGCUCACGUGCUUGUGUUUCCCCUAACUCCAAUUUAAGUGAGUUACAUCGGUUUUGCAAGUCAGUGUUGUUGGGUUCAUUUUGCAGCCUCGUCAUCUUCUCAUGCAGUUCGGCCGCAAUUCUCCUAGACUUCAUAUUACUAUUCUCAUUCUCUCUUGCCCACUCCUUUACAAUAUCCUUGACCCUUGACCAUCUUCAUCUUCCGAUGCAGCCUGAAGAGAGGUCUUCCCUUCACUGCCGCUACCCACGAGUCCGCAAACACAUCAUUGAAGGCAUGAUCUCGUGUCCAGCUAUUGUAAAAUUUAAAGGGCUUGCUUCCGUGCUCUGCCACAAUUAGUUCCAAAUACAUAGCGGUGUGGUCGCUUGUAUUUCCAAAUAACAACGUUGGUUGGACCUGCGACCACUUGUUUAUCCAAGACGGACUCGCCAAUAUUCUAUCUAGUCUCGUGUGCGUGGAUGUAGGACCAGAGCCAUUCAACCACGUAAACACUCCCCCGAUCGCAUCGAGUUCUAUUAGCCCUUGUACCACUUGAUCGAACUCGUCCACACACUCUAUCUUGAAGGUGCCUCGACCUUCUCGUUCCGACGACAAUCGGAUUUCAUUGAAGUCGUCACCAACGAUCUAGUCUCUCAUUCCAGACCCAAUCGAGAUAUUCCGCAAACCCUCCUACAACGGUCCACGCCUGACCACAAUUGCUUCCCUGUAUACUACUGUGAUGUCGAAGAAAUAUCCCCCAGCACGUGCAAGCCGCUCAUGAAUGUAAUAGCUGUGACAUUCCUCAAUGGAAGUCGAUCGCACCCCCUUCCUCCAUCUAAACCAGAUAGAGUCCCGCCCUUCAUCAUUUGUGUUUCGCACCACUUCCCACUCAUCCCUCACUGCAACUUUCACUGCACUGAAUUUUGCUCCCGGCUUUUGGUGAGAGAAGAAUCUCCUAGUGUUCCAAAGUAGUAAAGACAUUACUUAGAGGCAGUAAUGUUAUUGGCACGCUGACCUUGGGAUCUCUUGAUCAGAUCUAUCUCUCGGUGACCGGCUUCUUCGCAAAACACUAAAGGAGUUGACUGAUCUUAUUGGCGUCAUAGUAAUUCUCCUUUCUAUCUGUCGCAUUUGGGAUUGUACUUCUUGUUGCAUGACUUGCAUCGCUCUCGCCUCCGGCCACGUUUCCAGGUCCCUCAUUAAGUAUUCCCGAAAUUUAUGUUGUGAGACUUCCGCGAGGUAUGAAUUGGUCCCGUCCGCCCUAUUCGUGACAUUAUUCAAAUUAACGAUUGGCCGAAAUCGACUGUUUAGGAUUUGGACCCGACUAUGUCGGUCCUGUUUUGAGAUUGCAUGACCCUCGAUCUAGACAAGCUCCUAGUUUUGGGCUUCCUGGGCAUGUGGGUUAUUGUCAUCCCACCCUUGGUCCUCAAUAUCUGGUACACAUUCUUCAUCCAGACGGUCAUCCCCCUGUCGAUUGUGACCCAUCUCCGUACUCUCUACAUUUCUAUCCCUUCUUCUAUUCCUUUUUUUCUCCCUACGCCUCUGAUUUUGUCGCACCCUAGCCCUGUCACUCUUCUAUUCCUUAUUUCAAGGAUAUAAAGAAAAAAUCCUUGAUCCUCCUAGAAAAGUGGCUAUAUGUUGUACUUGGGUAUAGUUAGUAAAUAACAUUGGACAAGAUACUAACCCCAACCGAUUCUACAAGUCAAUAACAAUGAGUCUAAAGGUUUAAACUACAUAGACGACUAUUUAACCAUUUUAGAUUUGUAUUGAACUUGAACGCGAACUAUGUUAUGUCACCCAAUUAUUUUUCCCUUGCAUCGCUGACUAAUUUUCAGCUUUGGUAAGAGUCAAAUGAAUGAUUUUCCAUGUGCUUUAAAAGAACUAACCAAGUUGUUUCUUUUAAACAAAGUCCUAGACACUUAAAGACUACAAAUGUUACAUAUUGAAGAAAAAGUCUAAAAAGGAAGUACCUCAGCUAUCGGAAGACCAAAAAGUACUCCAGAAAAUGUUGCUUUGACAGCUUCAGUAGCACCAAGAAGAGGAGACCCUAAUAUCAGACAUGAACAGUUAGGAAAACGUUGUAACAUAGAUUGAUGGGAGUGGGACGAUAAAAGAAACACAAUCAUACCAACUGCAAAGUAAGCAUAUAUGUGGUUAUCGAGCCACUGCACAUAAUGUUUUGGUGCGAUCUCCAACUUCAACCAUUCCAAAAAGUAACGAAACACAUUGUUCCCCAAUGAAUGAGCGAAAACUAAAGACGGACUGCCUCGAAGUUUAAGUGUUGUUUCAAAAAUCAGCCUGCAGUAAUGUAAACAAAUCAAUUGGAAGUAAUAUUGGAAAAGCAGUAACAAACAAAUACAGAAAGAUAUAUAGUCUAUGGCUCUAUGCAUCAAAACAAUCUUUUCCUAGAUUUCUUUUAAGUUUUAACACAAGGUAAACUUCUCCUCCACCAAAUCUGACAACUAGAAAAUGGGAAAGAUGAAAUUUUUGAACGAUGCAGCACAGUCCAUCUAGUUUUUUUAAUAUUACUAACCGAGUCGACCCUCCAAAUCUACCAGGGGAAAAAAUGUUGGGGGCUGCAGUAGCUCACUGCUGAUACUGCAAUUUGGUACUAAUUGAAGAAGUGAUGUGACACGUCCGGAGAGCGUGUCGGCCGACGUUGAUCGGAGAACGUUGACGGAGAGAUUAACAGAGGAGGAAAUAGAUAAAAACAAUAACUUUUGUGAUUCAUUUCAUAGUUCUCAUGGAUUUUAUAGGAUCGAUCCCCAGUAUAAAUCGUGGGAUCGAUCGAUACAUUCCUCCCACGUAUGGGAAGAUAACUGACUUGUAACGUAACCCAUUGCUCUUGAUAAUAUCUCCGGCUAUCGGAGGUUUGAUUCCAGUAACUGCCGACACUCUCUUCCGUGAUAACUCAGGGUCUGGAGUGCAAUUAAAACGUAGCUAAUUAGUUGCUCGACGAUCGCCGACGUAGUCCACUUGGUAUACGCCGUGAUCCGGUGGAACCCGACGUUGUCUUUUGGGUAGGGGUCGGGGUAUGCUGUUAGGCGUAUCAAUCCCCGCAUCCUCAGAUACGAGAUUGCCCUCAAGCUCGACCAAAUCUUCAGGCAACAUCGCGACCUCCACCGAAUCCCCAGGAACAAAUUUCUUCAGUAGCAAUGAGUGAAAGACAUUGUAAAUCUUUGCACCCACCGACAAUUGCAGACGCACAACCACUUCGCCGAUCUUCUCCGUGAUUGGGUAUGGCCCAAAAAAAUUUCGUUCCAGCUUGUUAGAUUUCCUUGCAACGACUGAAUUCUGCCUAUACUUGUUUAGCUUAACUAAUACCUCAUCUCCGACUUCGAAUUGCACGUCUGAUCGUCGACGGUCCGCCUUCUUCUUCAUUCCUUCAACGGCUCUGCUCAGGUUUUGUUUGACGAGUAACAUAGUCUCCUCCCUAUUCUUUAUUACAUCGUGCGCUUCCUUGUCUUCUAGUGGAUUUUCCUCACAAUGGAAUAAUGCCGGCGGCGACCUACCAUAAACCAGCUCAAAGGGUGUCAUUCCAGUCGAAGAGUACUUGCUCGUGUUAUACCAGAGUUCAGCGAGAUGGAUGAAUUUCACCCAAUCUUUCGGCUUGUCCAUAGCAAAGCACCUCAGAAACUAUUGCAAGCACCGGUUCACCACCUCCGACUGCCCAUCGGUCUGUAGGUGGUAUGCCGAGCUGUGUAACAACUUCGUUCCAUGCUGUCGGAAUAACGAUUUCCAGAAAUUGCUCAGAAAAAUAGGAUCUCGGUCAGAUAACAAGGACUUGGGAAAUCCGUGUAGUCGAAUGACUUCCUUGGAGAACAGUUCGGCCACUGAGAUGCCGUGAAGGGCAUUGUCAUUGGGAUGAAGUGGCUAGCCUUGCUCAAUCUAUCGACGACUACUAGGAUUGUGGAUUUUCCUGAAGACAGCGGCAAGUGGGUAAUGAAGUCCAUCGUCAGCUCUUCCCAGACGUCCGACGGCAUUGGCAUAGGCUGUAGGAGUCCGACCGGUUUCGAAUUAGUAGGCUUGACGGCUUGGCACACUCCGCAUUCUCCGAUCCACUGUCUGACUUCCUCCCCCAUGCCCUUCCAGUAAAAAUUUCGUGAAAGUCUUGACAAUGUUGCCUUCUGUCCGGAGUGUCCCCCAACUGGAGUGGUGUGAGUUUCUGAGAAUAUUAGUUUCCGAAUGUCUUGGUUGUUGGGUACGACAAUUGCGUCCUUGUACAGGAUUAAAUCCUUCCGGAUUGAGAAACUUGGGUUGUGGUUGUCAUCUGUCAGCACGGAAGAUCUUAGUUUCCGGUAUUCAUUAUCGACGUCCCCUGUCUCCCUGAUUUUGCAUAGAAUUGAUGACACAGGGAACGAGACGACGUUCAACUCUGGUGGAGUCUCCAUUGCUUCCUCGCCGCGCCUUGACAGUGCAUCCGCUACAACGUUACUCUUUCCCAAGGUUCCGGGUGCGCGCGCGCAUAUGCGAUGAUGCGCCCCCAAAGGGAGAUGCGCCAAAUCUGGCGCAUCUCCCUUAGCCGGAUCCGGGUCGGAUCCGAGUAAAAUCCGACCCGGAUCCAGGCCUAUUUUAAGUUAUUUUGUUUUUAUUUUAAAAAAAAGGCCAAUUUUUUUUUUUAUUUUAAGACCUUACAUUGGUCCAUGAAAAGAGCUAUAUUAUUUUUAAUAUAAGCUCCUCCCACUCUUUAGACUUCAUAUUUGUUUUAGAGAAAAUGAAUCUUUAUUUAUAGACCAACCUUCUUUGUGUUUUUUGAAUUCUAUCGAUGUGGAACUAAAAAAGUGUGGUUAAAUAAAUUAUUAUUAUAGAGUAUUUUUUAUGUUGUAGAUGUAUUAAAGAAGGCCCAGCCCAGCCCAUUACGUUAUUAUUUUUUAAAAGCCUCUUGGGUUAUUUAUUAUUUUCUUUUUAUAAAAGCCUCUCUUUUAUAAGUUUAAAGAAACCUUAGCCAUUUAUAGAGCUAUAUUAUUACGAAAAUACCCCUAAAUGGUUAACCGGUUUUUAAACCUUGGUGUUACAAUGUGGUGAUACGGUAUCCCGAACCCGGUCACAACUUACCAGCAAUUAGAAGUCCGGAUAGCCUAAGAUGAGUUAAGGUACCUAUUCUAGGGUUGGGGAGGUCCCAAGUUGAAUCCUAGGAAGAUCGACUUUCCUGAGGAUCGGCUUCCCUGGGAUCGACUUCUGAAUAAAGUCGAUCCCCAGAAAGUCGAUCUCUGGAAAGUCGAUCUUGAGCCUCGAUCUGAUCAGUUAGGCGGUUACUGCCCAAAUGACCAGAUUACCCCUAUAAAUAGAAGGCAUCCCCCACUCAUUAAAGGCAGGUCAUUUGGAGCGAAAGGAAUCCUAGUGAAGCAGAGCUCUGCGCACUUGAGUUCCGGUCCGGUUUCCUGCGGAGUUCCCCGCUUGGCGCUUGCUUGCGCGUCUUGGAGUACUGGUUGGGUUUCACCCCCAUCACAAUGAAUUAUAGGGUGUUAUAAUAAUUAAUAAAUAUAUGUAUUAUAAUAAUUUUUCUAUCCAAUAUAUUUUUAACUAAAAAAUUUAAUUAAUAUAAUUUAGAUAUAUAAAAAAAUAUUAAUUUCCUAUAGUUUUAUAAAUAUUUACGAAAAUGCCACUGGCGCAUCUGAGCGCAUAUGCUCAGAUGCUCCAGGUGGCGGCGCAUCGCGCAGAGGCGCAUCCGGAACCUUGCUCUUCCCUGGACGAUAGAUGAUGUCGAAGUCGUAGACCAAGAGAUUCUUCAAAUAUUUUUGUUGCUCGGGAGUUUGCACUCUUUGGGUUACUAUAUUAAACUCUGAUGGUCGGUGAUGAUUGUAAACGGACGACACACCAGAUAGUGUCUCCAUUUCUUGACGGCCUCGACGAUGGCUGACAUCUCCUUUACGUGGGCGGAUCCGUGUCACAGGUUCGGCGGAUAUUGCUUGCUAAAAAAUGACAAUGGGUGUCCGCGUUGUGUCAACACAGCUCCCAUCGCAAACCCAGAAGCGUCUGUCUCCACGUUGAAGUGCUCUUCGAAGUUCGGUAGUCUUAGGACCGGAGUGGUGUUGAGCGACUGUUUGAGGGCGAUGAAGGACGCAGCGGCUACUGGAGUCCACACGAAUUUAUUCUUGCAGAGUAGGUCGGACAGUGGGGUGGCUAUCGACGCGUAUCUUCGGACGAAUCUUCGAUAGUAUCCGGCGAGUCCCAAGAAUCCUCUCAGUUGUCUAACGGACGUUGGGGCUGGCCUAUUUGAAAUCACUUCUAUCUUGGAUGGGUCGACAGCGACUCCAUCUGAUGAAAUUCGAUGGCCCAGGUACGAGAUUGAGUUGAGCGCGAACUCACACUUGGAUUGGUUGGCCACUAGUGCGUUCUCCGUUAGGGUGGCGAGUGCGAGACAGAGAUGGCUGAGGUGUGACACCCAAUCCUUACUGUAAAUAAGGAUGUCGUCAAAAAACACCAUCACUGACUUUCUUUACUGACUUUUGAAUACGAUGUUCAUCGUCGAUUGAAACGUUGAGGGCGCGUUACAGAGUCCAAACGGCAUCACGAGAAAUUCGUAGUGUCCCUCUGGUGUGCGGAACGCCGUUUUCUCGAUUGAAGAUGGAGAUACUCGUAUCUGGUGAAACCCGGCCUUCAAGUUGAUUUUGGAAAAGAACUUCACAUCGUGAAGCUCGUCGAAGAUCUCAUCGACGGUUGGAAUUGGGUAGGCGUCCUUGACGGUGAUGUUGUUAAGGGCACGGUAGUCCACGCAGAACCUCCAGGUUCGAUCGCUUUUGCGCACGUGGAUGACCGGCGACGAGUACGGAGAUCGGUUGGGUUGGAUGAUCCCGUCGGCUAUCAUGUUGUCUACGAGACGCGAAAUCUCGGCCUUCUGAAAGUAUGGAUACCUGUAGGGUCGCACCUUGACUGGUCCGGCACCGGGGUGGAUGUUUAUUUCGUGGUCAGAGUCCCUUUGCGGUGGCAGCCCGUGAGGAGCGGCGAACGCGUCGGCGAAGUAAUCCAAUAUUACUUGUACCGCUGGCAUGUCAUGCUGAAUGUCUUGAUGACUUGAUAGCUGUAAAUCCGGCAGGUGAUUCACCUUAAUAAAAAAUAAUUGAUCACCACUCGAGGUGUCCACUUCCUUCGACAUCCUUGAGGCAGGCACCUUGCGCGCGGUCGACGGCAGAUCAACUAUGGUCUCGGUUCCAUCCCCGAACGUCAGAGACCUCUUCUCGUAGUCGAACGUUACUCGUUUCAAUUGCUCUAGCCAUGCUACCCCCAGGAUUGCGUCGGAGCCGUGGAAUGGGACUACGUGGAAAUCGACUGCAAAUGUGGAAGAACCCAAUGUCAUCGGAAUGGCUCGGCAGACCCCCCCCGGCAUUCCAUAGUGUGCCCGCCUCCCACCAAAACUUCGAACCUCGCUGUUGUGUCGAUUGAUAGUUCCAAUCUUCGAGCCCAUCGUCUGUGGAUGAAGUUUAAAUUUGCCCCAGAGUCCACUAGUAUCUGUAAUGUCUCCCCAUUGAUGACUCCUUCCACAUGGAUAGUGCGUGGUGUCGGAACUCCCACCAAGGCGUGUAUCGAGAUCCCUGGGUCUUCCUCAUCUUCCACUAACUCUUGUCUGUUUGAGUCUGAGUCAAGCUCUGCUCCAUCUUCCAUCUGUUCGACCUCAGUCGCCUCCAAGCAGAGAACUCUCCCCGGAAUCUUGCACGUGUGGCCCCUAUGGAACCGUUCUUCACAAUUAAAGCACAAACCUGCAUCCCGACGCCUCUGUUGUUCUUCCAUGGUGAGUUGUUUGGCUCCCGGAGGUAGUGCACGUCGAGUAGUAGAGGACUCGCCCUUCUGUAACGUUCUGUAGUGGGGUCUGGGCGCGAUUUUCUGCUCUUGCAUUAGAGCUCUGUUUUUAGCUUCCAAAGCUGAUGAAGCACGACAGUAGGCUCGCGGGGUUACGAGGAGGGUCGGAGGCUUUGGAGUCCACGACGCGCGCUCUACGUCAAUGUACCUGCAGAAGUGGAGGGGAAUCGGCGACUCUCUUGGGAGUAGGCGAUUCGGGUUCCUUGGAUUGCUCUGGUGUGGUGUGUGUCAAGUGGGAAUGACCUGGGAGUAGAGGACCCCUUUUAUAGGGUCCUGGGGGACGUUUCCCCAUUCAUUAGCGUGUGGCCCACCCCAUUAAGGUACCCUGUUGAAGGGUGCCUUAAUGACGUGGGCCCACUCAAGUAACGGCUGAGAGUCGGCGACUCAGGUAUGGGAGUCGCCGAGUGAGAGGUGUUGUCGCCGACUCCCCAUGAGCCAAGUUGGCAGUCUACCAGAACUGACCACGAGGCCUAGAGUCGGCGAUUCACCCCUGGAGUCGGCGACUUGGUAGUCCCAGUCGGCGAUUCCCAGGUGUUGCCUUGAGUACUUGACGUAGACACUUCCUCCGCAUUUGUGGAACUCUCCGGGGGUCCGGCAUAAAGCGACGGAACCCUAAUCCUUGUUGAAGGGCGUUGCUGGGAGUGACUGACGUAAUCAGGCAUGUCUCACCAGUCGCCUCCAAGCAGAGAACUCUCCCCGGAGUCUUGCACGUGUGGCCCCUAUGGAACCGUUCUUCACAAUUAAAGCACAAACCUGCAUCCCGACGCCUCUGUUGUUCUUCCAUGGUAAGUUGUUUGGCUCCCGGAGGUAGUGCACGUCGAGUAGUAGAGGACUCGCCCUUCUGGAACGUUCUGUAGUGGGGUCUGGGCGCGAUUUUCUGCUCUUGCAUUAGAGCUCUGUUUUUAGCUUCCAGCAUGGUGGUUGAGUAGAACUGUUCGAUUUCCUGUCGAAUUUCCAUCUUUAAGCCAGAGAUGAACGUCUCGACCUUGAAUUGGAAGCUGAAGCCUUGAACUCGGUUUGCCAAUUCCUCAAACUCCUUAAUGUAUGCUUCCACGGAUGUCUUCUGACGUACCUGCACGAACGAGCUGAGGUGGUUCGUGCAGGCUGCCCUGGGGUUGAAGCGCGAGAUAACUAGUGCGCAUAGCUCCGACCAUGAGUGAAUGGGCGACUUUGCUCAUUGGUAAUGGAGCCAUUUCGAAGCAUCUCCCCCCUCAACAUUAAACGCGGCUGCGCCUACCUUUUGGUGCUCUGGAGUUGCGUGGAACAAGAAGAAUUCCUCGCACCGGUGUAUCCAACAGUGCGGGUCUUCUCCGUUAAACCUUGGGAAGUCAAAUUUCCAUUUCAUAGGAAAUGGAGGUUGUGACUGAUAUUCCGACGAUGCGUUAGGCGGAACCAUGUUCAUUGGUGGAUAUAAUGGGUUCGCCGGCGUGAACGGUGGUGGUGGUGGAAGAUGUAUACUUGGAUACGGGAGGACGGAUCUUUGCGGGAGUCCUAACGUCGUCGUGCUGAAGCCGGCUGCGAUUGUUGGUGGUUGGUGAAAUUGGAGUGACGACGGCGCGGCAGUUGGUUGAUUAGUUAUUGCGAAUUGAAUGUGUUUUAGCGUCUGGAACGGUAUCUGUUCCCGGAGGUUUCGGCCUUGGUCCCCAUUUAUCUCUAGACGGUCGAGAAUCGACGCGAAUCUAUUCUCUAGGCGUAAUAUGGAGUCGUCGGAGGGAAUGGUAGCCGCGUCCAGGCGGUUACGCAGGUUCUCGAUGACUACCGAUCGAUCCGGCGGACUGGAUUGUUGGUGUCCUGUGGAGGACGGCGGAGUUGUGGAGCUCAUUGGAAGCACCAAAUGACACGUCCGGAAAGCGUGUCGGGCGACGUUGACCGGAGAACGUCGACGAAGAGAUUCAGAGGAGGAAAUAGAUAAAAACGAUAACUUUUUGUAAUUCAUUUCGUAGUUCUUAUGGAUUUUAUAGGAUCGAUCCCCAGUAUAAAUCGUGGGAUCGAUCGAUACAUUCCUCCCACGUAUGGGAAGGUAACUGACUUGUAAUGUAACCCGUUACUCUCGAUAAUAUCUCCGGCUAUCGGAGGUUUGAUUCCAGUAACUACCAACACUCUCUUUUGUGAUAACUCAGGGUCUGGAGUGCAAUUAAACAUAGCUAAUUAGUUGCUCGACGAUCGCCGACGUAGUCCACCUGGUAUACGUCAUGAGCCGGUGGAACACGACGCUGUCGCUUGGGUAGGGGUCGGGGUAUGUUGCUGGGCGUAUCAAAGCCCCUAAGAUUUCUAUGGAAGGAUCUUUAAAACAGAAAAGAAAAAAAAAGUUAUCUCCUAGGGGGGGGAUUCUUUCACUUAUCUUUUAUUUGCAUAUCUAUUCUUAAGGAAGAUAGGAGUAGUCCGUUGAAUCGAAAUGAUAUUGUAAAGCAAAACGCAAGCAAACUAAAUAUGCAUACUUAAGUUUGUGAAAGUAAAGGUCUCGUUCCUCGAGAACGGAAGGAGAUAGCCUCCAAUCAUAAGGUGCAGCCACAAUCGCAUUUGCCUCAAUACCAAAUUCAAUGCACCAUCUGACCCAAUCUUUCCAAACAGACGAAAGAGGACCUGAGCAUAUACAGUGAAAUAAAAACAAACUGUCAGAGAAGAAAUUAGAAUAAAACAUAAAUGUUUCAUCGAAGUACCUGUGAUGUAUCCCGGAUCCAACUCUGUUAUCGCGGAAAGACCACUGUCGGGGCGUGAUUUACACUCAGGAUGAUCCGUCUGAUUGUAAGGAUCAAGCAUCAUGCACUUGAGCCAGCAAUUCACAGCCGAAAGAACCUACACACCCUAAAUUGGAUAGAACAUAAAGGGGAAAAAACCAGAAAAAUUAGGGGACAACAACAACCUUGGUAGUAUCAAGCCAGACGGAAUCGAGCGGGUUGAAGUCGAGAGGGGAGUAAGGGCAGUCGAGUACAGACCACGCCCUAAGCUGCGUGGAAGCAAACCCAGGAAUGAUUAUCCCAGAAAGCUUGGACGAGACCUGGUUCUUUUCAGUUUUCCCCAGAACCUCCGUGUGAUGGUGGUUGAUCAACAACAAUGCGACGACGAAGAAGAUGAACUGAGGUGCCGAACGCCGGCCCGCAGCCAUGAGAUUUGAUUGGAGGGAAGAUUAGUGGAUAUGAAAUUAUUAGCUAUUAAUUUACUUCUAUCUUCUACAUCUAGGAUUCCAGUGGUUCAAAAUUGAGAAGACUAUCUCGGCCGUUCAAAAUUGUCUGGAAGAAUCUGGAUUGUUGUUGCUCCAUCUGUUACGAGCAGUUGGAGUUGUGCACGGACCAACGUGCGUUUUUUUUAAAAUUGAUUUUUAUUUUAUUUUAUUUUUACGCAUAAAAUCUGUCUCAUCAUUUAUUUUUGUUUUUUUCGGUCAAGUAUCAUUUAGGUGAAUAACAAAAACAUGAUUCCUAAAAAUAAAACACGUUCAUAAUAGUCGACAAUAUAGAUAAUGAAGUCAUGAAGACAUAGGAGUUACUGCAAGCUUUGAUACCAACAUAUUGAUACCACGAAACAAGUCAAAAUAUCAUUAUGAUGUUAAAUUAUCUCAACUUCUAAAAAAAUAAUUUAACUUUUCAAGAUUUUUGAUCGCAAACUGCUUCAAAAUUGCAAAAAUAAAACAUUUGAUGUUGACGACCAAGUUCUUUGAUCCUUUGAAGCCAAUUGACAACAUUUUUUAAAUAUAUUUUUCAUACCACAUGAUUGUUUUAGGCCAUAGAUUGAGCGAUGAAAGAGACAUACAUGAUUUGAAGAGUUCACAUCAACGAACUUGGGUGAUUGUUUUUUUGAGGUUUCCGUGCAACAACCCAUUGGUGAUAUCAAGUUGUCGAAGAACCUAAUUAUUAGAAAUGACAAUUGCAAGAAUGAUACAAACUGUGGCGAACUUCAAAGUCAACUCAGACGAUCCGAUUGAACCUUCUAACAACAAGACGACUGAAAAAAUCGUCUGAAUUUUUCUUCACUCGGACAACCCAUCGACAAGUCACAGACUCACAAUGUUAGCUUCGGAUAGUGGCACUGAUUUGCAUAAAAAACUACGGUCAAUGUUAUGGUGGUUUUAGUUCUUGUCAUAUCCAUUGUUUGUUUGAUAAUGUAGGGAAUUUAUAUCAUUCGGUUUUAAACUUUUUAUGUGUCGAAAAUACGAUUCACAAAAAGGUCAAUAAAACAAAAUAAUAAAACUAUUGAAAAAUCUAAUAUGAAACAAUAAACUUUUCAAAUCAGAUUAUAUAAUACCAUUAAAAGGUCUAAUAUCAACUUCAUUUUAAUAUUUUAUUAAAUGAAACUAAGCCAUCAUAAAAAAAUAAUCAAGUAUUAACGAAAAUUAACCUUUAUUACAUUCUUCCUGUUAUUUAAAAAAAAAAAAUCGACAGACACUAAGGCACUGAGCGUCAAUAAAACAAAAAAGAAAUAAUAGAGGUCGUUAACAAAAAGAGCAAGCACUCGUUUUUGCAUAUUUUAAAUCUAGGUAAGAAAAAAGUACUCUGUAGCCUUCUCACCGUUUGUUUUAUCUGUCUAAAACAGAUGACUCUUCUGAUACUGGUGGAAAUUCAAUGGCCAGAAGAUUUUCAAUCCUCAUUUUCAUCGCUGGUUCAUUCAUAGCAGCAGAUAUUCCAUCUCCAAUCUCUUUAUAUAGUGCUCUAGCUGUUUCUAAAUUUGCAGUAUUGUUCCUCACCAUAUCCUUCAGCAACUCUAUCUUUCCUCUCAUAUUGCUGGAAAGUACUGCCUGUUGAACUUCCAUGUUAGCUACCCCAUCAAUGACUCCAAUCGCUCCCUCUAAGUUUGGUGGACAUGUGGGAAUAUUAUUCUUUCCGAACCCAACAAACGUAACAAAAUCCAGUGAUUUGAUCAUCUCUGCAAGAUCUUUCUUUGCCGUUUCUACCUUCUCCAUCUUAGAAUCAUCAAGUUGUUCUCCUUCAGCGACUCUCUCACGUGCUUCUUUCAAGAUUUCAAACUUCUCAUUGAGCACCGGUCCCUUUAAUUUCUCGUUAAUCUCUUUCUCCAGUUGCUCACUCUUCUCCGUCUUUACUUUUAGAUCGUAGACCUCGUUAGAUAUCUUUACUUUCUUCAUAAAUCUAUUGUAAUCAGAGCUAUUGGACUGAGAGAGAUUUUGAUUAAAUUCUCGGGCAAGACUAUCAACCUUCUCUUUCAAGCCAGGACUGAUGUCUCCCGUAUCAGAUUUAGAUAACUCUAACUCGAGUGCCUCCAUCUUCUCCUGCAGACCCAUGGCGACAAAGGCAUCAUUCAUUUCCUUGUCUAAUUCUUUUAGCAUCUUUUUCAUUGCUUUAUCUGACAUGGUAAAGCCAGACCAAUCAUUUUCUGUCUCUAAUGCUGUCUUAAAGUUUUCAAGCUCAUUUUCGAUUUCUUCUGUAACAUCAUUGUCUGUAGCAUCAUCGUCUGUAGCAUCAUCGUCUGCAGCAUCGUCGUCUGUAGCAUCGUCGUCUGUAACAUCGUCGUCUGUAGCAUCGUCGUCUGUAGCAUCGUCGUCUGCAGCAUCGUCGUCAUCGUCGUCUGCAGCAUCGUCGCCAUCGUCGUCUGCAGCAUCGUCGUCUGUGACAUCAUCGUCUGUAACAUCAUCAUCUGUAGCAUCGUCUUCAGCAGCAUCCGUAGCAUCAUCUGCAGCAGCAUCUGCAGCAUCAUCUGCAGCAGCAUCUGUAGCAUAAUCCGAAACACCAAAUUCUUUCUUUUUCAUGUUGCGUUUAAAUUCUGGUUCCACAAACUCGUCUUCGGUAAAACCACCAAUAUUUCGAUAUUUAUCAUGGCGGUGCUUUAGUAAGGUUUCCGUGUCCAUUGCAGUCAAUUCCUGAAUACAGUUUUAAGAGUUGAUACUUAAUACGGUUGUAAAAUUCAAACAUGAAUAAAUAAAUAAAAUACUGAGACAAACCAACAAGCAUUUAAAUUUUAAACAAAUAUAAAAAUUUCAACAAAUAUAAUCUAAAUAAUUCAUGAAGAAGCUUAAAUGAAGAAAAAAGAUAAUUCAUGGAAUCUAAACUAAUUAAUAAACAAGUAAAUGAAGUUUAGAGCUAGCAGCCUAUUAUGAAUCCAUGAUCAUUUUAUCUAAUUUUUUUCUUUCGAUACAGCUCAAUUAGAAUGCAACUAAAUAAUUAUUUUAAAUAAGCUGAAUAUGAAUUAAAUCAUCAAAGAUAAGACUACAUGCCUAAGUUGGAUUGUUAGUAACAUAAUCUUGGUUGGCAAUGAAAAUAUGAUAAACAAACAAAAAAAUACACAAAAAAUCACCUCCAUGGCAUCUUUGAUGGCAAUUUUUAGGUACUUGGACGACAAGGAUGGAUCAGUAUGUGCCCCACCAAGAGGUUCCUGUUCAUUGAUUCCAUUGAUGGCAAUUGAUUCCAAAAAAAUCAAGAUUUAAAUUAAAGUAAAAAUGUGUAAGAUUUACAGUAAUUACGAAAAUGCUACUCAAAAAAUGGGUAACCAGAUAACCAAUUUUUAAACCUUCUUCUCAAAAUAGCAAACACGAUCACUAAAAUUUCAUAAAUUCUUACGAACAAACUGGUCAAAAGGUGAAGAAAACAGGAACUUACUGGGAUGAUGCCAUCACAAAUCUUUUGUUCACAAUGGUCUUCUGCAGUGAUCUUCAAUUUUUCAGCAGCCUGAAAGACAACAUAUGUUUUAAAAAGGAAUAAGGGAUCUCCGAAUUACACAGAUGAUGUUAUAGCACAAAGGUAAAAAUACCAAUGGAGCAUUUUCUUUUGUUUUCCACAAAAUCACAGAACAUGCUUCUGGACUGCUCAAAACAAUGAAACAAAGAAAAUUUCAGGACUAGAAAAAAAAAUAUAAACAAAUAACCUCCAGAACAAUAGAAAAGUAUAAUUUAUGAAAUUGUAUUAUCAAUUGCUGAAGAAAUUAUUUUCAUUUUAUUAAAAGCUAUAAGUUUAAUAAUAAAUCAUUUAACAAUAAUAGCAGAAUAUCUUUUGGUAAUUUUGAAAAGUCUUCAAAUUUUAUAAAAUAACCAUCAGGCUAAUUAUAAAAAAGAUUUAAUAUUUAAACAACGACUUAAUGGUGUAGAUAACAGAAAAAAUGGAAAAACUGAAGAAAGGUACCUAGCAACAUAAAAGACAGCAUUUUCCAUCAUUAACAUUUUAUUGCCACAACCAAUAGCAAGAGCCCCACCAGAUCCACCUUCACCGAGCACAACAGUGAGAAUUGGGACUUUUAUGCCAAACAUUGCCCUCAGAUUAAAAGCUAUGGCCUCACCCUAAACAGAGGGAGAGAUAUACAUAGGUGAUAAGUGCAGACACUGCAAUGUUUAGAAGACAAACUUAGAUGAGCAUGUGAAGUGUGAACCCACUUGACCAAGUUGUUCACAUUUGAGAUCAGGAUAUGCCCCAGGUGUGUCAAUCAAUGUGAUGAUAGGAAGACCAUGGUGCUCAGCAUAUUUCAUCAUACGUAAUGCUUUUCGAUAACUGCAUGAACGUAAAGUACUUAAAAAAUAUCCAUUAAGAAUAGCAAAAAGAAAAAUAGAAAAUUGACAGCAAUAGAUUAUCUUCCAAUGUUUCCUUUCACUGUUAGUGAUUUAGUAUUAUUACUUUUUAACUUUUAUGUACCUCUACAAGUUCAAACUAUUUUAUAGGUUCCCCAAUACAACGAUAAUUAUCUAUCUUACUAUACUAUUUUAUAGCUGGAGACAGAUUCUAAUAGUAAAUAAGUAAAUUUAGUGAAGCUAAAAAACAACCUAGAAUUAAAUAAAUUCAAGGGAACGGACCAAACUAAAGACAAAAGAACCUUCAAAACGCAAAUUCCAGAAUGUCACCUUGUUUUAAGGUUAGACGUAUUUACUUUGAAGUUUGAAAAAAGAUAACAAAAUGAACCAUGGGGUUCUCAAAUAAAGUAUAUCUGAUCUGACAGAAUCUACUGCUUCGGUAAGAUAAGAGCAUGAACUGUAAAGUCUGUAAUGAAUGACAUAAACAUACCCAUGUGGAGUUGGCAUUCCAAAAUUACGCUUAAUAUUUUCUUUUGUGUUUCUUCCUUUCUGAUGGGCAAUAAAUACAUAGGAUUCACCAUCCAUUCUUCCAAUACCAGUAAUCAAAGCAGGAUCAUCAUAUCCAGCACGGUCACCAUGCAGCUCCACCCACUACAAAUAAACAAGUAUUCAGAUGCUUUCAAAAAAAACAAGUGCUCAGAUUGUGCUCAAGAAUCGAUAGAAACCAGUUAGACGUUGUAAAGACAAAUGUUUUAUAGAACAUCAAAUAAUGAAAUAAAUGAAUAGUAAGAUACAGAGUAAGAUCAAUACCAUGUCAGUCAUUUUUAAAAUGUGGUCAAGAGAAGUCGGUCUGUUAGGAUGCCGAGCUAUUUGCAGACGUUGAAAAGGAGUAACAUUUUUAUAUAAAUCUUUCAAAGCCUGCACAGUUAGUAUAAAUAUAUAAUAAAAAAAGUCAGAAAAGGAUGUCUUUAGAUCAAAGAAAAAUUGCAAGCAUUAUCUAACAAAAUUAAAGCAUAAGGUGUUUCUUUUAUCUAUGUAAAUAAUUACCGAUUUACCAUAUACAACGGUAUAACCUGACAUGCUGAACCAAUUUAACAAUUGUCUAACUCCGUAAAUUAAAUUGAAUAGGUAAAAAAACCUGAAUCCAUUUAUAUUAAAAAAAUCAUGAGAUAAAUUUAUCUAAAGAAAACCUGCUGAUAUUUAGCUUCCAAAGAAAUAAUUUGGUCAGUAAAGUCAAGACCAGUUUCUUCUGACAUCUUGCGAACCUGUGAAGAAUUUAAGGAAACAAUUGAAUAAUUAAUAUUUAUGUAUAAAUUUCACUUAUGAGUUCACCAUAGUCAAUAUACUUUAAAAAUUCACAAUCUCUUUCUUUAUAAUUUAAAGAAAUUAGUAAAUAAAAUAAUAAAAGAGUUAGGGACAUCAAAAAAUGAUUAGUGAAAAUGUAAAAAUGAUUCAGAUUUACGAAAAUUUAUCUAGCUGAUAAAAAACUAGUAUUAUCUAGUAUGGAAAAGAAAGUAAAGGAAAAUUUUGAUAAAGAAUUUUGAAAAUAGUGGAUGUUUAACUGUUUAUAAAUGAUUCCUUCUCUUCUUAAUCAUGAUCAGGUUCAAUACACAUUCUACAUCAAAAUUAAGUAAUUAACAAUUAACAUUGUUAAUAACAUUUAAGAAUUACUUCAUUAUAGAUGACUUAUAAAACAGUUGUGAGAAGAAAGAAAAAAACAUGUUUGACUUACAUCCAUUAUCUUUGUCUCCAAAUCAAUUAAUGGCUUUUCAAAUCCAAGUGUAAUUGGCUUUGGUUUCUCGGUAAGAGGCUUGAAGUCCGAUAAAUGACUCAAAUGUCCACUUGUUAGCUUGGGAUCAAUAUCUUCUGGCCAAGGAUAGUCAUGCUUCUGUCCUUUCUUAAUCCUUGCAACAAUACCAGGCCUGCGCUUAUUUCCAGGCCUAAAUUGUUUCAUGUGCUUCAACCAAAUGUCAUUUUUUCCUUUUAAACUCUUUAAUAAACCAUCAUUGGUGAUCCGUGAUCCCGAUACAAAUGUGCAAGUCUUUGUUCCAGUUAUUGAUCCCGAAAAUGCUAAUGAAAACAUCCUUCAGAAUAAUGUAGUACCAAAAGAUGAUCCUGGACAUGCAACAAGUAGAAGACAAUUAGUAAGUAUCCUGUAUAAAAAAGAAAGGAGACAAAUUGCAUAAAUAUUUUCUAAUGUCAUAGUCACGCCCAAGCAUAGUAAUCAACGCCUUGCAUAAACUAAUUUUCUAUUUGAAUCUCUAUGAAAAGAGCCAACAGCAGAGAAUAAAACAUACAGAUCUCCAUUCCUUGAGCAUUCCUAAACAUUAAAACUAAUCCACCUCCAAUGGUAAAUGUGUAGAUCUACUGUUACCACUAUAACAUAGCAAAAUUUAACUAAACAGUAGAUCUAACAUUUAUUCAACUUCGACUUAUAAAUACACCCCAACAAGAUCCCUUUAGGAUUAUAGAUUUCUUCCUGCGAGAACAAACCUGGAAAAUGUAUAUCUGUCUGAACUUCUACUGUCGCCGUCAGACCGCCUACACUCCUGCCAGCUUCGUUCCGUCGAUCUCUCUCAGAUCGCCACUCUCCUCCGUCUCUUUGCCGAUCGAAUUCCCUCCUUCUUGGACUUGGACUUUAAAUCUAGGGUUCUUCAGUUCGUUGAGAAUUCAAUAUUUAUCUUUGUUGAUUUGUUGGCCUACUCAUUAUAGUACACGUGGCGACCAUCCGUGAUAGACUGAUGGCUCAGAUAACGAUCUUGACCGUGUUUGGAAUCUAGGCUGACGGACCUCCCAAUGGUGAGCACCGGCUGCUCCCCAUCACGUGUUUAUUACAUCAAAAUAAUUGUAAAGGCAACUCUCGAGGUAAUAAAUGAUGACAUGUAGUCAAUAUAUAAAGAUUACUCAUACCAUCUAACAAACCCAGAAAUUAGACAUGUUUCAUGUUUCGAACAAACCCAUAAAUUCCACUCGAAAAUCAGCUCGCGUUCUUCAGUUGGUCAAACAGGCUUUGCUGGAAUUUCUCUCUGGAAUACAACCGGCUAAAAAUGACCUUCUAUUUAUAGAUAUUUUAUGGGGUAAUCUGAUCAUUAGGGUCGUAACCGUCCAACUGCUCAGAUCUGACUCCAAAUUAACUUUCUGAGGUCGACUUUUCCUAUUCGACUCCCCAUUAGUUGACUUGGAGCUUCCUAUAACCUAUACGGGUGUUACCAUCUAUUCUGGGCUAUCCGAACCUCCGAUUGUUAUUGUCGUAACCAAGUUUUAGAUACUGUGUCACCAGUGUUCACCUCCCCUUUCAAUACGUACUGUGAAGAAAGUGAGAGUUUCAAUUUUUUGUAUUGAAAGAAUUAUCACAAUGAUAUUAAAUUAGGAUUAACAUGAUUGUUUUCACAUAGAAUUUUGGUUUGAUUGAAUUGAUUUAAUACUGAGUUAUUAUGAAAAGAUUUAUGGAAUGAAAUUAACAAAAGAUUUAUGGUAUGAAAUUCAAGUUAACAAAGUGAAAUUGGAAAUGACAGAAAUCUAAAGAAAAUUAACAAAUUGAAAAAUUGACAAGAGUAAUUCAAGAAUGAUACCACAUUAAAAAAAUAUACAUUAUCUAAUCUACAAUCAAACUGUGAAACAGAUCUACACGGAACGAACACGAUCGAUUCAUCUGAAAAAUUAAAAAGAAUUACCAGAUUGGAAUUUGCAGAAAGAAAAUCUGGAAUGCAAUCCAAUAAGCAAGAACAUCAAUAACAGAAUCAAAGACGAGAAAGAGUAAUGCUCGAUCUGACGGAAUGAAAAAGUGGAAUGCUCGAUCACACCAGAUUCCAGUUGUUUUUAUACAUAUUGUUGGUGGCGAGACAUGGCUGAUUACGUCAGUCACUCCCAGCAACGCCCUUCAACAAAGACUAGGGUUCCAUCGCUUUACGUCGGACCCCCCCGGAAGGCAUUCACAGUGCGGAGCAAGUGUCUAAGUCAAAUACUUAAGGCAACACCUGGGAAUCGCCGACUGGGACUACCAAGUCGCCGAUUCCAGGGGUGCAUCGCCGAUUCCAGACAGGGCACUCGGGUCUGGUAGACUGAGGACCUGACCUCAAGGGAGUCGGCGACUCCACCUCUGAAUCGGCAACUCCCAUACCUGAGUCGUCGAUUCCCAGACGUUACUUGGGAGGGCCCACGUCAUAUGACACCCUUAAUUGGGCACCAUAAUGGAGUGGGUCCCACGCUAAUGAAUGGGGAAACGCCUCUAGAACCCUAUAAAAGGGGUCCUAGGGGUGUCCUCCAUUCUCAUCUCCACUUGAUCAAUCACACUCCACACUAGAGCAACCAAGGAGCCCGAAUCGCCUACUCCCCAAGGAGUCGCCGAUUCCCCUCCUCUUCUGCAGGUGUUUAACGUAGAGCGCGCGCCGUGGACUCCAAAGCCUCUGGCCCUCCUCGCAACCCCGCGAGCCCACUGGUAGCAGAUUCCGUGCUUCAUCAGUUGGACAGUUGGGUUGAUUUAUCCAUCUGGUAGCAUUCUGACCCAGUGAGUUACCCGAAAUUGGACUUUAAUUUCAACGGCUGAGAAUGGAACCAAAGAUCUGACCAUUGAGAUGGUUUCUUUAUAAAUGGACAAUGGUGUUCAGACAUUUACCGUUAGGGUUUAGGGAGUAUGCAGACGCGCGCUGGAAGAAAUAAACGGUGAGACUUUUUAAUAUUUUAAUAAUAUAUGUAUAUGAGAAUAUUUCACAUCCCGGAGAGGACUUGUUGAUCAACAUUCCGAUCAACUCAUUUCUGUUUAUGAUUUUAUGACUUGUCUUCUUCACAUCACGGUCGUUUUCUUCAUGUCUCUUGCUGGUCGAUCCAUUUCUUUAAUAUUUUAAUAAUAUAUAUGAGAAUAUUUCACGUCUCUUGCUGGUCGAUAUACUUUUUCACUAUGUUAUAACGCUCACACUUCACGAAUAAUUUUAUCAUCUCAUAACACUCACAAUGCACUUGUAAUUAGAUUCAUGCCAACACUUACAUCACUCACUCAUUAACACUUCACUUAUAUGUUCACAAACCACUCGAUGACUCACCCUUUAAAAGUAGUAUCGAAAUACGAAAGAAGACAUCUUCUUAAAAUCUUGAAAUGCUAGUCUAUUUGGAAGCUAUCUAGAACCGUAAAAAUUCAAAACCAAGAUCUAAGAUCUCCUGAAAUCUGGAAUGAAGUAAACUGAACAGAAUCUGCAUAGAACCCUGAAAAAUUCCAGAAUUUAACUAUACGAUUAUCAUAAAAUCCAAAAGCUCUUCACUAAACCCAAAAGGAAUCUAGAAUUUAAACCAAUAUCUAGUGGUAUCCCUAGAUUUGAAAAUAAAAUCUGUUGAAAAUAGAGCAGUAGAUAAAUACGACCGCAUAAAACCCAACAGAAAUCCUGAUUGAAACCAAAACCCUGAAACAAGAGUAACUAUCACAAAACCUAAAGUUUGAAAAUCUAGAAAACAAGGGUCUGAAAUCUGAAAAUCAUAAAAUCAAAACCAAUGAAAUGAUUUAAAUAAAAUCAACUAUUUAGUUUCAGCUCAAUAAUAUAACCCAUUCAAUACCAUAAUAAACGUAGCCUCAUAAAUCUAUGCUGCAUCUACAUCACUCUCACGUUCUAAUAAAUAACUACUAACCAAAAAAUCAGAUUCAUGUAUUAGGACUUCUCACCUUACAAAUCUGACCAAAUAAUUUCAUCUCACAAAUCCACUCAUUAAAUAAAUACAACCCCAAAAGCACCAACGCAACAUCACAAAAAUAUCCUAUAACAAUAUGAGAUCAUCACUGAAUAACCAAGAUCAAGGAAUCACAUGGGCAUAUCCAAUCUGCACUAUCGUUCAACAACCCAAUAACAUGCACAGCAAAAAUCAGAUUCACAUUCAUAUACUCAGAACAAAAUCAGACUCUAUAAAUCCCAUACCUCGUUUUGUUUUUGAACCCUCUCCCAACACAAUCCACACCAAGCUUUCCAACCACCUCGACACCUCCUCGCUCGUUUCCCCGAUACUCUCUCGCCGGAGUUUCGUCUCCGUCCCCACCCUAGCCUCACCGGAGUAGUCACCGUUCUUCUUUCACUCACGUUUCUCCCAACCUUCCCUCUUUCCAUUCUUGGUCUAUAUACCCCCUCUCCUUUCUUUCAAAAUCCUAACCAUGAUUUUAACUAUAUGAUUUCAUUGGAAUGGGCCUAGCUCACGGCAUUGGAUCACUCCUAUGUUAAAAAUCUUUUUUUUUUAUUUUUUUUAUUUUUAUAAACAUAUUUAUUUAUUUUCAUGGUUUUCACAGUUUCUUUGUAGUCAAAACCUUCUACUUGAGUGUUGCCUUUAGCUACCAACCUAGCUUUUAGUCUCUCAAUAUCCCCAUUGGAGUUAUGUUUAACUUUAUAUACCCAUCUAAAUCCUACCACUUUUCUUUUUUUAGGUUUGGGUACUAUUUCCCAAGUAUCAUUUAGCUCUAGUGCUGUCAAUUCCUUAUUCAUUGCUUUUACCCACUCUGGGCUUUGACUUGCCUGUUGGAAUGAUUGUGGUUCUGAUGUUAUGGAUAUUUUAUCCAAAAAAUCAAUGUGUGAGGUUAAGAGUCUUUUAUAUGUUAGAUAAUCAUGCAUAGGGUAUGCAGUGCCCUUGGAUUUGCCAUUGCUAGUUGCAAAUGAGCAAAAAUAAUUAUUUAGUCUUGUUGAUGUUUUUCUAUCUCUUUUAGGAUAUCUUCUCUCAAGCUUUUCAGGAUCUGAUGGGGAAGGUUCAUCAAUUAUGAUGGAUUCCAUAGAUGGGUUUUGGGAGUCUUCAGAUGGAUUAUUUAGCCCAUCAUCAGAGUUGUUUUCAGGAUCAGAAUUAAUAUCAUAUUCAUCUCCUAUUGGGAUUUCUCUAUGGGAUCCAUUUGGGGUGACCUCCUCUUUUAAAGGGAAGGUUUCUUCAUAAAAGAUAACAUCUCUACUCACAGAGAUGUUGUCUUUUAGAUUAUAAAUGAUGGAUCCCUUUUGUGUAGAGGAUUGUCCUAGAUAUAUACAUUUUCUUGCCCUGGGGGAGAAUUUGUCCUCUCUUGUUAAGCAUGUGGCAUAGCAUAAGCAACCAAAUGUUCUAAGGCUCUCAAAUUUGGGUUGUUUUGAGUGUAUGAGUUCAUAUGGUGAAAGGUUUUGUGUUACCUUAGAAGGUAACAUGUUGAUUAUGUAGGUUGAGUGAAGUAUGAAGUAUCCUCAUAAUUCAGUAGGAAGUGAUGAUUGCAUUUGUAAUGCUCUUGCAACAUUUAGGAGGUGUUGGUGUUUUUUUUCAACCACACCAUUCUGUUGUGGUAUGUGUGGCCAACUAGAGUAGUGGAUGAUGCCCUUAUCCUUUAGGAAGGCAUCCAUGGUUGAGGAAAAGAAUUCCCCACCAUUGUCAGUCCUAAUAGAUUUAACAGAGGUAUUGAAUUGAUUUUUAAUCAGAGCAUGAAGAAGUUAAGAAGCAAGGUGAGGUGCGCACGAAGAAGCAACAGUCGGCCGGAAGAGCAGGCGACAGAGAAUGAGAGCGUCAUUUGAGAAACCCUAGAGGGGUUUAGUUUUGUAUUAUAAUAAAACAAGAUAACCUAAGUAUUACAAGUGUUUGGUAUUUAUACCAAUGAGAAUUACUGGGCCUUGAGUGUGGACCAAAAUUAACCUAAGAUAAAUGACUUUAAGAAUGGUUUUAUAAACUAACUAAUAGAUAAUAAAAGAGACUAAUUCACUUCUUAGUAAAUGCUUCCAUACAAUUCGUUCUAAAAUUAACCCUAUUUAAUUUUAGAUCGCACCAAAUGAAAUUUAGAUCGCAAAAAAUUCUAAAUCGAUAAAAUUUAGAUUAAACAGUUUCAAAUAACUCAACUACUCAAGGUCAAGACAACUAAAGUAAACAUAAAACAUAAUAAAAAAAAUACGCAGCAAGAAAAUCAUCCCCUGCCAAUAGAAUAGAGUCAAAAGGUGCAGCAGAAGAUUCCCUUGGUCUCUUGGUUCCAAAUCUACAAUGCUGAUUCAAUUUCAGAUUCAGCUUCAGCUUCCAUGGAUUCAAAUGAUUCUUUGUUGUCCCCUUUCAAUCGUGAAGACACGUUGUCGAUGGUAGAAUUCAACUGACCAAUUCUCUCUUUCAAAGUAUGUUGAGUCAUCUGUAUAUAUUUUAUGAAAUUGUGAGAAUGUAUGUAAUAAGAAUGUACGUGAAUUUCGUUACCUCUGGCUCUAAACGCUUUCCAUAAUAUUUGGGCUCUUUGAGUCUUUGAAAUCCAUCUUCGUUUUCAUUCAGCAAAGAUUUCCUUAUCUGCUUGUCGGAUUUUACUGAAGGUCAAUUGUUUUAACUUUUACAUAUUUCAUAUACUAUCAACUUGAACAGAACCAAGUUAAGAAACAUGCAUUUUCGAUCAAAUAACAAAUCAAUUUUAGAAAAUAUUAAACUGACAUCAUUUGUUAAUACUAAACCUAGUUCGUAUGUAUACUUAUUUUAGUCAUUAUAGUUAAUUAUAUUUAACAGUAGUUAGUUAAAUUCUCAGUUUCUAUAUUAUAUAUAGUCACAAAUGAGACUUCAACAGAACAUAAUUUCAAUAGAACAAAACUUAUUACCUUUCUCAUCGAAAAUUUGUAUCUUUCAUAAUUUUCAUAGACUUUCUUUAAUAUAGACUAUAGGAACAAUUAGAACAUUGAACAAUUUACACCUUUGAAAAAUAACCCAACAACUAUGUUGCAAAUAUGCAUGCAAAUUGAAGUAUCGAACAACCAAAAGGAAAGCCACGUUAUUUGGCAUCCUUAUUUUCUGAAGAGGUAAUCAAGGGUAAAAGUAAUCGACCUAAGUCAAAUAAUCCCAAGUGAAAUUACAUGGCAAGAAGGAGAUUGCAGAUUAUUUUGCAAAAAAACAAGGUCAUUGCCGCAACCAAGAUCAAGAGAAGAGAGAUCUUUACUCUUUACUAAUAAUAUUGUCGUUUGUUGAGAAUGAAGUCGAUGUAAUAGGUUAGUAGACCUCCUGAGGUAGUCUUUAAAGAGGUCAUUAAAAACAUCAGUCUCUCCUUUGAUUCAGAGGGUUACAAGAAAAGUUGUUGUCACCCUUUGGAGACACCUAUGAUGGAAGUAUGGGAGACCAACCUCCUGAGGCAGCAUAGCUAGUUACUGUAUAACUAGACUACAUAGCUAAUGGGAGAGAGUCAAUGAUCUUCUUGCUUAUUUCUUUUUGCUUAUGUUUUUAUUUCUAUUCUCUAUGUAACUUGGGCAUUGCCCUUAUUUUUUUAAUGAAAUUUAAUUUCUUUCAAAAAGAAAAAAGUCGAUGUAAUAGACGUAAGAGUGAAGACCCAAAGGGUUUGAAAUACAUAAAGAAGAAACUCAAGGUUGUUGGGAUUGCUUCAUCGUCCAUGUCGGUUGUGUUUGGAUUUUUUCAAUUAGAGAAGGAUGAAACCAUACACGUGUACAUGAUAUUCUUGAGAAUCGGAAGAGAGUAAAAUAACCAUGAGAAAUGCAUAGUGGACAAAAUAAUUGUUAGGUUAUUCUAAUCAUUCGCUAUUUCAUUUAACAUCGGCAAUAAAUGCUGAUUUUGAAGUCAUUGGAAAACACAAAUAGAGCUAUAAAUCCCCAACCAUUUGAGAACUUUGUGGGUCUAUUACAAGAACAAGUCAUCAACAUUAAUUUGACAAGGAAAAAGAACAUAGGUCAAAUAGAAAUUUUUACUAGUUAUUUGUUGAUGUCUGAUGGAUGAACCAACAAAUAAGGAAGAUGCAUCAAUAUGAAAAUUCACUAAACCCUAAACCUAUUCUGAUGACACUCUCAGAAGCAUUUGGUACAGGGUAGUUUGCCUGCCUCCACUAGCAGAAGAUACUUCGAGCGUAAUCUAGAACAGAUACCCAAUCAAUUCUUUCUUUUCUCCAGACAAUAAGCAUAGAUAAUGUGCUUGUAUACCCCAUUGUUUAAGCAUACAAAAGGAGUGCAAGAACUCCCAUCUCAGCUGUCCCGGAUCUUCCUAAGAUCCAUUAAUAUAUCAAAAACAAUAAUCUAAGGUGAAAAAACCCUAAAGCCCUACUUGCUAACUUGCAAACUCUAAAUUCACUCUCUUACCAGAAAGUGAAUCUAUAGACUUUGCAGGAUUGUUGAUCAUUUUUCUUGGUAAAAAAGAUAAUGAUACCCUCAUUACCUUAUCAUUGAUCAUAGACUCGAAAAGGUUGGGAAAUACCAUUAAGUCAAACUUACACUCAUCCAAUGAUUUAUUCAUCUUGGAUCUUAAGUUAUUGAAUAUUUGAAUCCGCCAUUCAUGUAUAUUUUACGUAAAAAAAUUCUAUAGACUACCUGUGGAGCAAAGAUAUAUGCCAAUGUUCCAAAGAGUGCCCCUCCUAAAAUAAAACCAGCAGCAAAAUCACCACCAGCGUUAUAGCCAUCGUCCCUGAAAGAUUUCAAAAAAAACAAUCACAGUUCUAAGAAAUAAUUUAUAAUUUUUUACCAAUAUAAACAAGGUCAGUUAAAAAUGAUGAGUUUUUUUUUCAUCUGGAUUAUUAUGUAAUUCAAAUGAUUUUUUUUUAGUUUAUUGAAUCUAUGAUGAACAAGGUUUUGUUCUGGAGAUAAAAUUCCAUUAUACGGAGAACUAAGCUCAUAAUCACAGGAAAAAAAAUGAUGAGGUAUGGAUAUGCAGCCAUCCGACUCAUUUCCUAUCUAGCAUUAUUUCUAGUGAUAAUAUAUUGUUGCCUCAGAAUGGAAGUCUCCCGUAAAUUAAACAAUCUUGAUGGAAUCAAUACCAUUAAAGCAUCAACAUUUGAAUACAGUGUUUCAAAUUUAAAGCCAGACGUGUGAUUUCUGAACAGUGGCAAAUGCAUCAUGGUUUGGUACUUUAAUAAAUAGCAAACAAAAUACCUAUACUCAGCACGAACAGAGAGCAAUUUACGACGGUGAUCCGACAGUCUAGGUUGACGAAGAUACAAGAUCUGUAAUCGACGGCCGUCCAAUGCUCCAAUCUUAGUAGAGUUAAUACAUGGAGAUCCGAAAUGAACUCCGCCUACAAAUCAUUCAAAACAAAACAAAGAAGAAAAAAAAUCGCAACAGCCCUAAAUAAACAGUAGACGAGAAGUAAGAGCAAGCAAAGAGAAAAGAAACAUCAGAGACCAGCGAUGGAGAGGGCGGAAGAAGUAGUAAAAAACGCCAUGGCCGAUGGAGAGAGUGAGCACUGACUGAGAGGCGGCAAGAACAAAGCAAAAUGCGUAGUAGGUCUAGUAGUAGUAGUAGCUUUGGUUAAAUCGAAAAUAAAAUUUUCCUAUUGCAUUUUCAUCCCUAACAAAUAAAAAAAUUCCCAAAAACAUUUCCUGAUUGAAAAAAGGUUUGAACUUUGAACCAAACUAUUAAAUUAAUGAUACAAAUAUCCAGAUAUUAGUUUAAUUUGAAUGCUAUUAAUUCAGUUAAUUGUGUUUUUAUUUGAAUUCGUUAAAUCCAAUUGUGAUUUUGGUUGAAUUACACAACGCCUAACUCUAGUAAUAAUUAGUAAUUAAUUAGUAAUUCCAUGAUUGCAUGUAAUUAUGGAAUCAGUUACAUAUUCUAGAAUCUCGGUGAAACAAGAUUCUCUCAGAAAUCUUGUCUUCUACUAACACCGAUAUCUUCUACAAACACCAAUAAACUGCGUACAACACAUUAGAUAAUUCUACCUCUACUCGUUUGGGGUUUUCAGUAAAUAUGUAAGAACAUAGACAGAAAAAGAGAACAUCAACAAUGGAGGAUUAGAGACUUAGAAGAACAUUGGGGGAGGAGGAGGGGGAGGAGGAACAGGGGCAUAAGGCAUGAGGGGAGUUCCAUGUUCGAUAGGUUUGGGAUGGAUUGAAGCCUUGGAGCUUGGUGCCGGAUCUAAUCCUGGGUAGUCUUCUUCAAUCAUCAAUUUGCGAACCACAAUCUUUUUCUGAACCAGAAAUGUAGGGAAAUAAUAUUAAUAAGAUCAGUUUUCGUUAAAACGAUAUCGAUAUCACAAGAUUGUGAAAUGCACGCACAGACCUUAAAGUUCCUGUCAAUGCCUGUUGUUUUGAGAUUAAAGAUAUCAUCAUCUGAUGGACGACAACAGAUAGAAGAAGCAAUCAAUGAAUGAAAAAAAACCCAAUCAGAUGGGGAUGAAAAUUUGAAAAGAAACUAGUAUUUGCUAGUUUACCACAUACCUGGUGAAGAAACAAAUCGAGUUCCAAAACGCAACAAGAUGAGGAGAUAUAAAGUCGUAGGGAUGAAAACAACCCAAAAUCCCAAACAUCUCAUUAUUUGUUAGCUGCUGGGUGAGAACUGAGAUAACAAAGAGGAACCAAAAUGGAGGAGGUGAGUGAACAAACCACUCAACCACUGCAAUGUGCGUGCGAGGUAAGCGAGCCAAUGAUAUGAAAGUCUUGCCAGGCGGCAUUCUCUGAUGGGAGCUUCAUUCGGCGAUUCAGUUUUCUUUUUUUAUAGCAUUUAUUUCAACCAAGAAAGCUGCCAAUGCAGCAGGUUUUUGAAAUGGAAAAAAAAUAAUAUAAAAAUAGUCACUUAGAGUGCUAAACAGACAGAUAAACAGAUGAAGAAGAUGGUUUGUAAUUGAUUGAAAUUGGUUGAAAUUGAUUGAAAGUAAGAAAUCUGGCCUGGAAAUAAACAAAACCAAGUAUACAGAUGCAGGUUUUUGUAAUUGAUUGAUAAAGUUUCAAUCAUGAUCUGUCUGGCUCUCUAACUUGGGAGAUUGUCCCACGGAUGGGCGGCCUUACACCAAAUUUGAACAGAUAGGCUGAUUCAUGAAUUGGGCGUAACUGGGUGAUAAACUCCGCAUCCAGAUAAGCAUCGCAGUUGAAGCACCAAACUGAUAAAUCACUAUCAUGUAAAUGUGUAAUUUAUUCACAGGUUAGUUAGUUUAUCAGUUAUCACUAUCUUCUAUCAAUGUUAAAAAUCACUAAAACUGUAGACUGUGGCACAGUACCUGUAGCUUAGAGCCAAGCAGUGUCCAGUUUCCUGAUAAUGAUUAAACAUAUGCUUGUUCACAAACCGACUGCAGAGGAUAUCUUUGCAAAUCAAGCAUAUCCAAUUCUCCCUUGUGUGCUGGCAUCUGAAACGGUAAUAUCCAAUUCACUUGCUUGUAACGGUAAUUCUACAAACAGAUUUACGGCAAAUAACCAGAAAUUACUAAAUACUGACAUGUUGCAGGGUGUGUCGAUAUGAGGGAUAUGGUACAGAUCGAAAGAUAGAGUGUGAAGAUGAUCGCAUGAAGUUUUUGCUUCAACCCAACCUGAUUCGGCCCCGAUCAGAUCAUCUACCUCUUCUAGAAUCUACAAAAAAAAACAUGAUUAUUCAUCAUCGAGAAUAACAAAACGCAAGUGUCGACGGAGAAAACUAGGGCUGCCGUAAGAUCGUAAGACCGACGUACCAUAGCAGACGAUGCCGAAGCUGACGAGGAGAAGCCCCGUGUGGAUGCCGACAUCGAUUUCGAGCUCCAAUCGACAGACAAUAAUUUUCAGAAAAAGGUUUAUUAUUUUUUAGGUUAGUUACAGGAACCGACCUCAGAUCUCGCCCUUUGUUUUUACAAUACACAGGCUGAUUUUUUUUUUUUGUGGUUUUCACACGGGGUGAUAUUGGAAAUGGAUAUUGGAAAUUCGUAUUCGUUUAGGUUUAAUUGAAUUCGUAUUCGUUUAGGUUUAAUUGAAUUCGAAUAUUUCUAAACGAAUUCGGAUAAUUGAAUAAAUAUAUAGGGCAUACCUGUCUUGUGAGGUACAUGUGACGGACACCAUAUCCGACCGUUCAAUUCCUACGCGAAGCUCGACCGUUCGUCGAGGGUGUCUGAUGUGACCUACUUGUCCGUCGCGGGUGUCAGAAUCACCACGAUCGGCGAUCGCGAGAUGACAGUUGCGGUUCCACAUGACUUGACGAUAUCCAUACGCGGGUGUCACCGGACAGGCAGGAGGUCGUAGGCAACCCAUACCUCUAUAGCUAGACAGCUCCUAGCCAAGUGGAUGUGUGUGCUAUUUUGGAUGUCCGACGGGAACGACACACACCAUGGCUGACGAACGACCGAUCGCAAUUUGACGGCAUCCAUCACACGUACCGUUCGACAUCCGGUGAGGACAGAUAUCGUGCCUGAUAUUUUCUGUAAAUAUAUAAAUAUAGAGUUAGUUUCAGGUGUGUCAAACCUUAUAUGUGUCACAAUGUGCCAAAAAAUUUCGUCCAUUAGAUCGCUCGGUUCACAUUUCGUUAUUCAUCAAUAACUAGAUUCAGUACAACGACUAGUUCAAAUCUCGAGAUUUUACCAAAAGACGUACAUCAUGUAUAGGAGUCAUACUUAUUGAUGACUUGACAUAUACUAGACAAGACAACUCCUCCUACUAUACCUAUUACAUCAUACGACUACUUAUUAAAAGUUAUUAUAAGUACUACGAUAAAUUCAUUAGUCAAUGACUUCACUACCAUCACUUCAUUCAUUUUCCACUACUAAAAUCAUUAUUUUCAUAACGAACGGUUGUCCUUAACCUACUUUGAUCCAACGACGUACCACGUUUUAGCGUAUUAAGCACACCGAGUUUUGGCACAUCAGAAGUGUGCCCUAUAAAUAUAUAAUAAUUUUAUAAUUUUUACCUUUUCUAAUAUAAUGUAAUCUAUAUUGUGCUGGAUUUAUAUGUUAAAAUAUUACAAAGGUUUUUCCUAAAAAAAAGUAAAAUAUUAAUUUCUUAAUUUUUUUGUAAAUAUCAUUUGAACCCAAUUCGAUCGAAUUCGAAAUUUGAAAAAUAAUUAGACGAAAUUAGAUUCUUCGGAUACUAAACGAAUUUGAAUUUGGAUACAGACACAGACGUAUGCAGCAGGGCAAGAGAGGGCAAUUGCCCCCUCCUAAAAGUUGGAAAAAAUUAAGGAUCUAUAUGCAAUAAUUUUUUUACACAGGGUUAAAUGUAAUUUUUAAACUAUAUUAAUAUUUUUUAAGGGUUAAUAUAUAAAUUUCACAAUAUUUUAGAUACUUUCUCUCCCUUCUCGCCUCACGUUUCACAAAUCUCCCGUUCUCUCCCAAAACCCUAAUCUUCUCCGGCCUCCAGGAAUCUCUUCUUAGAUUCUUCACUGUUGUUGCUGCCUUGCUGGAAAUCUCUUCUCCAGUUAUCUCUCCGUUGCUACUUGCUGGAUUCUCUCAUUUCUCUGGUAUUUAUUUGUUGAUCUUGUUUGUUGUUUCUACAUAUUAUUUGGGUCUGAUAGAUAUGAUACGAUGGUGAUGGUCUGAUGGAUUUUAUUGAUGUUUGAUUUAGUUAGUUGAUUAGUCCUCAUAUGAAGUUAGGUUCUCCGGUCUGCAUAUGAAGUUAGAACUCACAUGUUAAUGUUCUGUUUUUGAAAAAGAAAAGCACAUUAAGAGAUUUUCUUUUCAUCUUCGCACAUAUAUUCAAGUUUGGGAAUGUUGAAAAUUGACAGAGGUAUUGUUCCUGAUAGAUUGUUGAAACUCAAAUUCCUAAAAAAUUCCAAGGAUAUGAAUUAAAUGAUUUUAUAUUGAUGAAAUGUGUUGUUAAACAAAUGGAGAGUAUAAAAAAAAUAAAACUUACAGAUAUCCCAAAUUUGUUUUUCUUGCACAAUCCGUAACUACUAACUACGAACUGUGAGAUCUGGCAUUUGACAUCCAAAAAUUCCCAUUUUAAUUUCUUAGGUUUUUUCCUAUCCAAAUUAUCUGUCAACUGUCAGAUGAUUUUAUGCAAACACUUUCUAAUAUUUGCUUGUCGACAUCCUAUUUUGGGUUUGUAGCUUGAUUAAAUUUUCAUUUUUUAUCGUGUAAUCUAUAAUGUAUUACUCUCGGUAAUCAAGCUUAUCGACUUCAGCUCUGAUUUUUUGUUUCAUGUCUGCAGUUAUUUUAAGACCAAGCCACUGUCUUCAAUAACACGCUAAAAAAGCAUGGCCUCCCGUUUCUGGACUCAGGUAAUCACGGCUUGUGUUUUUUCCCCAAAGAAAAUACUAAAAUAGUGCUCCCUUCUUGGUACCCUUUAUUUUGAAGACUUAUUUAUUUCUCUUGUGAUGAAUUACCAGGGUGGUAGUGACACCGAUGAAGACGAAAGUGAGUAUGAAAUUGAUUCAGAGGAUGAGGUCGAGCCAAGUUCUGGUGCAAAACCAGCAAACCGUUAUCUGGAGGAAAAUGCUAGUGAUAGCGAUGACUCUGAUGGCCACAAACGUGUGGUGCGCUCUGCCAGAGACAAGCGCUUUGAUGAAAUGUCAGCUACUGUAGAUCAGAUACGGAAUGCCAUGAAGAUCAAUGAUUGGGUAAGCCUGCAAGAGAGCUUCGACAAAAUUAACAAACAGCUAGAGAAGGUCAUUCGGGUGAUGAAAACCGACACGGUCCCCAAUCUUUACCUCAAGGCUCUAAUCAUAUUAGAGGAUUUUCUUGCCGAGUCCCUGGCAAAUAAGGAUGCCAAGAAGAAGAUGAGCAGUAGCAAUGCCAAGGCAUUGAACUCAAUGAAGCAGAAACUAAAGAAGAAUAACAAGCAGUAUGAGGAGGCGAUUACAAACUACAGACAGAAACCCGAAACUGAGAGUGAAUCGGAGAGUGAUGCUAACGACUCUGAAUCAGUUUCAGAAUUUGAGGAAGAUCCAACAGCAGCUGCACCCUCCGAUGAGGACAACGUCGAUGACCAGGAUCAAAAUGAUAAGGGCUGGGAGCGACAGAUGAACAAAAAAGACAAACUUAUGGACAAGCAGUUCAUGAAGGACCCAAGUGAGAUCACAUGGGAAAUAGUUGACAAGAAGUUUAAAGAGAUUGUGGCUGCAAGAGGUAAAAAGGGAACCAGCAGAGCUGAGCAAGUUGAGCAGCUUACAUUUUUGACUCGAGUUGCAAAAACGCCUGCUCAGAAGCUUGAAAUCUUGUUCAGUGUGAUAUCUUCCCAGUUUGAUAUCAAUCUGAGUAUUAGUGGUCACAUGCCCAUAAAUAUUUGGAAGAAGUGCUUAGACAAUUUCCUAGGUGCGCUAGACAUCCUUGAGCAGAAUCCAAACAUAGUGGUUGAUCAAUCUGCCGAACCUGAAGAUAAGGAAUCACAUAGAGAUUCAGAUUACGAAGGAACCAUCCAUAUCUCAGGGAGCUUAGUAGCUUUGCUUGACCGGCUAGAUACUGAAUUUUACAAGAGCUUGCAAUGCAUUGAUCCCCAUACCAAGGAGUAUGUUGAUAGACUUAGAGAUGAGCCUAUGUUUUCUCUUCUUGCCCAAAAUGUUCAAAGAUAUUUGGAAAAAAUGGGUGAUCUUAAAGGAGCUUCCAAAGUGGCUUUGAGACAGGUUGAGCUUAUAUAUUAUAAGCCUCAGGAAGUUUAUGACUCGAUGAGAAAGCUAGCAGAACAUGAAGCUCUUGACAGAGAACUUGGUGGAGAUGAGAAUCAAAAUGCCGAAGAAAUCAAAGGACCUUCUGCAUUUAUUGUUAUCCCAAAAGUUGUUCCACGGAGUCCUACGUUCCCAGAAAGUAGCCGAGCAUUGAUGGAUAGAUUGGUUUCCCUUAUAUACAAGAGUGGUGAUGAAAGGACAAAGGCUCGAACAAUGCUCUGUGAUAUCUAUCACCAUGCCAUCUUUGAUGAAUUUUCCAUUGCUUGUGAUCUUUUACUGAUGAGUCAUCUCCAGGAAGGAGUCCAACAUAUGGACAUAUUGACACAAAUGCUGUUCAAUAGGGUGAUGGCUCAACUUGGUCUCUGUGCUUUUAGAGCUGGCCUUACUAAAGAAGCUCACGGAUGCCUUUCUGAACUCUAUUCAGGUGGAAGGGUAAGGGAGUUGCUUGCCCAAGGUAUCUCGCAAAAUCGAUAUUAUGAAAAGACUCUAGAGCAGGUAUCUUUGUAUUAGAUAUUUAAGUUUUUUAUUUAUAUAUUUUUUACUCACGAAUCAUAUCAUUUUGGUCUUUUUCUAAAAUACAUUGCAAGAUUUCCUAUGCUUGUGACGAGCAGACAGUCGCACAUAUAUGUCAUAUUGUAACUGCGCAAAUUUCGGCUUGCAUAUUUGCAAGCAUGUGAUUGUAUGUUUGGUGGAAAUUUAAGCAGAUCCAUGCUAGAAUUUUGACCCCAUCCUGAUGGAAGAUUUAAAUUUCAUUAGUUAGUAGAUGACCGGUGUCGACCGGUUGGAUAAUUAACAAGUAUCAAGUUCAUUUAUGAUAAAGUGUAGAGAAGGUGAUGGGAUUUGUGAGAAUCUUGGAUUGCAGCAACAUGCCAAUCCUCAACAUUUAGCUAUGGAAGAUGAAUAAACGAUAGUCACGAUCUCAAGCUAUAAGAUGAUUGAACUCUUUAGAGCUUUUUUUUAAUUCUUAGAAGUAACAUCAUUAUGUUAUGAAGUAUGAACACUCAACUUUCUUUUAGUUUAUGUUUUGAACCUUAUUGCUUGAGAUACAUAAAUAUCUUUCUAAGUAUUUAAACCUUAUUUUUAAGAUACUAAGCACUUUCUAAAUAUGAUAUAGGCUUAUUAGCUUAUAAGGCUUAUAAGCCGUUCUUUCUCUAUUUAUUUGGAUGCCUUUUAUUAUAAAAAAAUACAGUGUGAUAAUUAGAUUUUUAUAUGUGAUUGCUGCUGUUAUUGUAAAUACAAUUGCCUUGUUUUCUUGUGCUAUCAUGAUGCAUUGAUUUGCAUAUUGAAUGUUUUCGUAGUGCAUCUUUUUAUGUUGUAAGAUAUGGAUUUAUUUGGGUUUGUUUUGUUUUUUGCAGGAAAAAAUCGAGAGGAUGAGACAAAUGCCCUACCAUAUGCACAUAAAUCUUGAGCUUCUAGAAGCAGUCCAUUUAAUUUGUGCUAUGCUCCUUGAGGUUCCCAACAUGGCUCUAAACUCAAAUGAUGUUAGACAGAAAGUGAUGAAUAAGAAUUUCCGUAGACUCCUUGAUAUUAGUGAACGACAGACUUUUGGAGGACCUCCUGAAAAUGUUAGAGACCAUAUAAUGGCUGCGGCAAAAGCUCUUAGAAAGGGAGAUUUUGAGAAGGCCUUUGAUUUCAUCAGCUCCCUUGAUACAUGGAAGCUUUUGAAGAACAAAGAAAGUGUUCUGGCAAUGUUGAAAUCCAAGAUCAAAGAAGAAGCUUUAAGGACAUAUUUAAUUUCCAAUGCGUGUAGCUACGUGUCGUUGAGUUUGGAUCAUCUCAUUCUUAUGUUUGGCCUUUCUAACACACAAGUUCACAGCAUUGUGAGUAAGAUGAUGAUCACAGAGGAAUUGCAAGCAAGCUGGGACCAACCUGCAAAGUGUAUAAUAUUCCAUAGUAUGGAGCAAACAAGAGUGCAGACCCUCGCUUUCCAGCUUUCAGACAAACUCGGCGUUCUUGCUGAUAGCAAUGAAAGAGCAUAUGAGGUCCGAACAGGUGGUAGUUUGGAUGGGCUUCCUUCAAGACGGCGGACAGAUGGUCAGGAUUAUUCUGGAAAAUGGCAAGAUAAUAUCUUCACAUCACAAGGAAGGCAAGGUGGCGGUGGAGGACGUACAGGUUAUACUGGAAGAUUUGGGGGCUCUACACAAUCUUCGGUGGGAGUAUUCUCAAGGGACAAGGGAGUUGGAGGAGGGUAUGGAAUUCGGGGCACCGGUGGUGGUGCUCGGAAUCAAGAUGGAAGACAUUCAUAUCAAACAGGAUUGUCUAUGAAAGGAAGGCAGGCAGAUGCUUCAAGUCGUAUGGUUAGUCUUAGCAGGGGUGACAGAUUUUAAUGAAUGACUGUCUGACUUGGUAUUUUUUGCUUAUUGGCAAUUUUCUUAUAGCAUCGAUGAGGAUUAAAUCAUGAUCUUGAUAUAUUUUGUUUCUUCAAAUUAAACCAGUUUUAAGUUAUUGAUAAGUCAUGAUGAUGUUCUUGAUAUUAGAUUUAAUAAUUAUAAACUUUUAAUACUAUUCUGUUUUAUGUUGAAGUUCAAUUAUUCAUGCUUGUGUGAUUGUGUUUACAUUUUGCAUUAGCUUUUAAAUCUCAGUUUAGUUAUUUUUUUAGCGAGCUCUAUUGAAGUUCUUUUAUAUUGCAGUAACAUAUGGUAGCAGCUCUUCGUCGCCAUAUCAAUCCUGCAAUCAUUUAUCUGAUCAUACCUUGUAUGAUUUACUUACUCUAACAUUUAUUAGCAACAUAUUUAACGGUUAAUCCGUCAAAGCAGAAUUUGAAUUUUUAAAGUAAAAUAGAUUAGAUGAUUAUUUAAUUAUUUUCCUUCGAAAAAGACGUUAAAAAAUGUCAAAAAGAAAGAAGAAGAAAAUAUGGUGCUUACGGCUUACCCAGACAUCCAGGUUUUGACGUUUUAGAUAUAGAGAUAACUUCCAAAGCAAGAACAUGGGAGAUGCUGGCGCAGAUUUGAGAAAAUGGCGGAUUGUGAUCAAGAAAUUCCCACUCCACCCCCUACUCUGGCCAUGCUUUUUUGGUACAGUCAGCUCGAACACUCCUCCAGCAGUAGUUCUAGUAAAAAAAGAGCAAGCGAUUGGUAUGGAUUAUGGAUUCGUCAUCGUUUUUCUUCUUCUUUCGGUAUCAUUUGUUUGACGAUGAUGUGUUUGUGUUAAUGCCCAUGUCAGGAUUUUCUCCGAGGAGACCCCAAGUGAUAUCACUAUUGAUGUCGGAGGGGACGUCUUCAAUUUACAUAAGGUACGACGGGUUUAACUUGUUGGUACCAAAGUUGUGUAUUUGUAAUCCCGAUGGCCAUAUUGCAGUUCCCUCUGGUAUCAAAGUCUGGUUACCUGAAGAAAUUGCUCUCCAAGGAUAAAAAUGUCACCAACCUGUCCAUCGAGGUUGCCGAUGUUUCAAAAGCCUUCCAACUGGUAGUCAAUUUCUGCUACGGAAAAGAUUUCCAGAUAACCAUCGAAAACAUUGCGGCGCUCCGUUGCUUGUCGGAACAGCUUGAGAUGACAAACAAGUAUUCACCCAACAAUCUUGUCAGUGUAACAGAGGAUUACAUCCAACGUGUUGCAUUAACCAGUUUUCCUAACGCGAUCACUGUGUUGCGUUGCUCUGAAAAACUUGGUAAUGCUCCCAUCGUUGAGAGAGUCAGAUUGGUGAGUAGAUGUAUCAAUGCGAUAGCUUACAUAGCAUGCGACCAAGAUGAGUUCUACUCCUCACUGACAAAUGAAAAUCACCAAGGGUUUAUGGAUUGCUGGGCACAAGAUUUGACAGCCCUUGGGAUCGAUACAUUGGGAAAAGUUUUGUUUGCAAUGGCAAAAGCUGGAGUUAAACAGGAUGCUCUGGGGACAAUUCUUCUUCUCUAUGCUCAGAAAUCACUAAAAGGAAUUGUGAGUCAUCAAUGAAUUGAUAAUUCUUUUUAGUGAUUUCAUUUGAUUUUAAAUUUUUGAUGCAGGACAUAUUUGGGAGAGGAAGAAAGAAGAUGGAGUCAAGAAAGCAGUAUGAGAAAAAAGAGUGAUACUAGAAACCAUUGUUGGUCUUUUACCAAAGGAAGCAAGAGCCACUCUGCCAGUUACUUCUCUUAGCAUGUUGUUAAGAGCAGCGAUUUAUCUCGAAACAACAAUAGCUUGCAGGCUUGAUCUUGAAAAGAUGAUAAGUUUCCGGUUAGAUCAAGCCACAUUGGAUGAUCUUCUGAUUCCAUCUUUCUCCAUUGCCGAUGACACUUUGUUAGAUGUGGACACUGUUCAGAGGAUCUUGGUGAGCUUUUUAGAAUCCCAGAUUGAUGAUGAUAGUGUUGAUGACAUGGAGGAGGAGGAAUGUAAAAAGAAGAACAAAAAGGAGAGUAAGGUUGGAAAGCUCAUGGAAUUCUACCUUGCAGAGAUUUCUACUGACCUAAACUUAUCAGUUUCCAAAUUUGUUGGAUUUGCUGAGUUGAUCCCAGAAGAAGCAAGAACCACCGAAGAUGGCAUGUACAGAGCAAUCGAUAUCUAUCUCAAGGUAGUUCAAGAAGAGAUUGUGAAAUGUUAAUUAACAUCUAUCAUCAUAUAUUUUUUCUAAAAUGAUGUGCAGGCACAUCCGUCGCUAAACGACGUUGAGAAGAAGAAAAUCUCUAGUGCCAUGGAUUGCCAAAGGCUCUCUCUCAAGGCUUGCACUCAAGCAGCCCAUAACCAGAGGCUCCCUGUGCAGACCAUGGUUCAAGUUCUCUAUUACGAGCAGCAUCUUCUCCUUCUCCUGGAAGAAGAACUACAACAGGAACAGGAACAUGAACAAAUUCGUAACUGGCAGAUGAAGGUGCACCUUUAAGUGAACGGCGGGAUAAACUAAGAAUGGCGGGAUAAACUACGGUCUCUCCUUCUAAACCUCAUUUCAGUAAGUUUUGUGUAACACUGCACAAAACAUGUUUCAUUUGAAAUUUAGAGAGAGAAUGAGAAAUGAAAAUUGUGUUUGCAACCAGAAGGAAUUCACUGUGUUUGCAAGCGUUUCCCUUGCAGGUAUUUUUCUAUGAAACAGUGCUUGCAGACAUGCCAUUUUUAUAAAAAUUAAGACUUUACAAUGUGUGGCUAUAAUUAUUCUUGUUAAUUUGAUCUAUUAAUGUAGAUUAGCUAUGAAUUUGAUUUUUUACGUGAAGCUGAUGCAAUGAAGAGAAUUCGUAAAUUUGUGUAUGCUGCCAAUAAGAAACCUCCGGUUUUGAUACCUCGUGAAAUUAGCGGAUUGACAACUAGGUAUGACAAUCAGGUAUUUUUAAUUCUUUUGAAAAACUCCAGUUUUGAAAACGAAUUUAUUGGUGAUAGGGUAAUCUGAGUUUGUAAGCCAUAUGUUUGUAAAAUCAUUUGUGUUUUCAUAUUAGAUAUGAUUCAUGAGAUAGGUUUUGUAAAAUGAUAUGAAUCUUAUUAUCACUGUAUUUCACUCUUUGUGGAUUGACAAAUAGCUCAAUUAUAGGGGAUAUUGUAAUAUGGGGUAUGCUCAAUUAUUGACAGAUGUUCCAAUAAAAUAUACAUGUUCUUUUUAUAUAGAGAGACAUUAAUAGGUGUAGCCGCCGUGUAGGUAUAAUUUUAAAACUCAAUACUGCCAUAUAAAGUCAAUGGUUAUAGUUUUGCUGCAGUUCACUUAUUCUACAGUGUUUCAUAAUUUCACGUAUUCUUUAUUUUAAGAUACCUAAUCGUGGUACUUUCCAAGGUUUUAUCGACAGUCAUGCGGAGCUGACCGCAUGAGUCAGCUACACAUUUUGGGAUAUUUUGCAAAUAUCGUCCUACAUUUUCUUGUAUUUACACAAUAUAAAUAAAAUAUUAAGAUUUGAGAAAUGGAGAAAUAGAGAAUUGGAAUACUCGCUGGAGGUCUAACAGAUGUUGGAAAGGGUGGCUGAAGACUGUUCAGAGUGGAUAAGAAAACAGUGUAGAAAUCAAGCUCGUUGCUUUUUUUUAUAUUUAUUUAACCAUUUAAUGGUUAAAUGAUUAAGUGGAUCUGACCCAGCACAUAAAGGUGCUGGGCAGUAUACUCGCCUGGCCAAGCGCAUGAAAAACCUUGGUAUUUUCAACAUUGUUGCCUAUCAAUUUAGGAAUGCAAACGAGCCGAGCUAUACACUUAGAUUUGGGCUCAGCUUGCUAAGGUUUUAGUACAGCUCUGGCUUGAGCUCUCUAAGCUUGAUCGAACUAGACUUCAGCCCGGCUCGAAACAUGGGAUCGCAAGUCCAAUAUCUCAAAAAUUAAUUUUAAAUAUUAAAUUUACAGUACCUGUAACUUGAACACAUGACAUUUUCAAAAACUUUUAAAUAAAUUAACCACUCAACCAGAAUUUCUCUAUUUAUAUUUAAUGAAAAUACAUUGUAUAUUAUUAUUAUUGAGCAUAAUGAGCCGAGAUCAACCUUAAUAAUCCUUGCUCGGCUCGUUAAGCUUGACGAGCUUAGACCCUAGACUUGAUCUCAGCUCUUUAAACUCACGAAUCGAGCUUAGAACUUGCAACCCUACAUCCCUACCUAUCAUAUUAAUUAAUUUAUUUGAUUUUGAUGAUGUUCAUUUCUAAAUUUUUUUUUGCUAUUAUCAUACCUCAUAGUAUCAAUAUACAUUCUACGUUUAAUGUCAGGAGGGUCCUAGUAAUGGAUUUCAUUGAGGGAAUUCCGAUACUUAAUCUUGAAAUUGAAAUGGUUAUGUGUGGCCUUAAGCCCUUAAUCCUUAUGGGAAGAUAUCAGAUGCUGCAAAGAAGUAACUCUCUCCGAGCACAAGAUUGCAGUCUCUUUGAUUUUAAUAUGUAUACUCAUCUCUAUCUGUCGCUUUUGUUGCUUAUUCAUAUAUAUUGCUUGCACUGUUAAUUAAUUUUAUAACCUAUAACUUCACGAUAUUCUAAAGAUUGCAGUCUUCCCGUUUUUAUACUUUUAUGAAUGGUAUAAUAUUUGUACAUCCAUUGUAGAUCGUAACAUAGUGCUAGGUAAUGUAAUACUGAAGUUAUGGUCGUUGAUCUUUUUGUGACAGAAAUAUCUUGAAGAACUUGACCAAUGCUUAUGGUCAAAUGAUAUUAAAGAGUGGGUUCUUUCAUGCAGACCCUCAUCCUGGAAAUAUUUUGAUUUGUAAGAAUUCUGAGGUAUGUUUUCAAUUAUAGAAACAUCAGCUUUCUCUCUAUAUACUUUAAUCAUUUCGUAUCACGUGUUUUUCAGGUUGCAUUGCUAGACUAUGGACAAGUAAAACAUCUCCCAGAAUAUUUGAGGCUAGGAUAUGCUAAUCUUGUUCUUGCUAUGGCAGAUAAUGAUCCUUUGAGAGCAGUACAGAGUUACAAGUAUGUGUAUGUGUCGUAAACUAUUAUGCAUAGACGGUAUAAAGUUACAGAUUUGACAUGUUUACAUAUGAUAAUUGUUGAACUCGUGAAGAAUUUAAUUACAAAGUCAAAGCAUUGCUAAUACUAUUUUACAGGAAUUUACAUUCUUUAGUAGAUAUCAUCGCCAAUUCACUCUCUUUCUAGUGGUUUGAUAUUAUUAAGAGUAAUUUUGCAGAGACCUUGGAAUUGAAACAUCGAGUACAUGUGCUGAUGAAUCGAAGGAGUUGCUUCAAUUGGCUCGGUCAAUGUUUGAUACUAAGCUCCCACCUGGAGUAACAAUUUUAUCUCCAUUUGCAGAAGAUUCAUCAUUACAAAAAGUUUCUGUUCCAGUAAGAAAUUAGUUUUGAGUAUUGUACGGUAUUGCAACAGAAUCAUUAAUUGGACAGUUUAAUCUUAAUUGCAGAGUUUUCCAGAGGAGUUGUUCUCUGUUCUACGCACAAUGCAAUUGCUGAGAGGACUUAGUGUUGGUAUGGGUGUGAAUUAUUCUUGUGCAGAACAGUGGAGGCCUAUAGCCGAAGAGACAUUGCAUAAAGCUGGAAAAUUGAAAGGUAUCGAUUGCUUGAUAUAUUGAGAUGCAAAUUAUAUGCAUCAUAUUGUAUAGAAAAUAUGUGACUAUUGCAAUAUUGCUUAUUUUACUUCAGAUUUUGAACUCAGAUCGAGGAAGCAAGGAGUGUUGAGAAAAAAAUUAGAGAGAUGACAAAGAAAUGGUGGUAUAAUGAAAAAUAUUUUUUUAUGAUUUGAUGUAUACACUCAUUAUUAUUUGUGUAACCAAAGCAACACGUUUUCUUUGUAUGAAAAUUGAAAUAAUGGCAAUUAACCAACCUAUUACAUAUCAAUUAUCAUUAAAUAACUGAAUGAAAGAAAUGGUGAUCUUGUUUUCAGCAAUCUCUUCCAAGCAUUUCCAUCUGGCGUCGCGUUUUCUGGUAAUUUCCAUUUCUUUCAUUUCCACUUCAUGCAAUUUGCUGAUGCAUCCACGGAUUAAUUCUGGAUCAUGAUCAUAGAUUAUUUUCCUCACACUUAAUGUAAGACUCUGCACAGCACGGUUCCAAUGAUUCUUAUUUCUCUCUAAAGCAGGGAGGACGAUGGGAAGUAUGACUCUGAUGUUUUGCCUGAUCAUAUUCUCAAUGCGAUCGUUGUUCCGUAAAAACAACGCCCGCUCAGCCACCUGUGCACAUGCAUUGUUUGAGAGAGAGAGUAUGAAAAAAGAAGAGAAUGAAAAAUAAUAACCUGAAAAUGUGGGCUGGAAAUGCAGCUUCCAAUCUGUUGAAAGAGUGGGAUCAUGCACCGUUGAAAUUCAGGAAUCUCUGUUAAAUCAAGGAUUUGUUCUAAUUCCACCAGGAACAUUACUUCCUUUGAGCUAUUUGUCAAUGGCCAAUACUUAAGCAUACCCCUUAUUACAGAAUCAGCAAGUUUGCAGUCUUUAUCUACAAACUGUGCAAUGCAGUGUGACAACUGGCGAUGAUAAGAUGGUAGUGACUUAGGUUUAUGCAGAGGAAUCAAUACCUUUAUGAGAAACAGUUUAUGUUCUUCUUUAAGUGGCAGAGCAAAUCCAUUGAUAAUACUGCCUAGGAUCUCUAAAAGCUCUGCAAUCCCAUUGUGGUUCUCUAUUUCAAAUAUUAAUUGAAAGAAGAUAUUGUUUACAGCUCUCCUGAUAAAUGGGCGAUGAACCGUGAAUUUACCAUACAUUCGUUGAAGAAUAGCCUUUAAGUACUCUCUUUCUCUUUGACUUCAGAGUCAAACAAUUCCAGUAACUUCAAAACAGUCAAUUGGUCUAUAUAUCUCUUUGCCAACUUGACAUCUGUUUCUGGAGAUGUAAUGAACCUGGGCAGUAACUCGUACACAGCAUGUAAAUGCAGCCAUGCAGGUUCCAUGGAUGCUUCGUCUUCAUCUGUUUCAAAGUCUUCCACACCCUUAUUGGACGGACUUAAUGCUCUGAAUAGGUUGAGAGAGAUCAUUCUCAUGACUUCUUUCAUGAUAAUCUCCGGAAACUUUGAAUUUGCAGAAUUGACAUAUUCUACCAGCUCCAAAAGUGUCCGUCGUUUGACAUCUUUCUCAGUUAAAUUCUUGGUCAUGUCAGUGAAAUCGAAGAUAACAUAGCACAUGUUGAGUUUUUUGAUGAACAAAUCCUGUUUCUCAGCAGCGCUAGAUAUAUCAUCAAAUCCUGGAAGUGGUUCAUGUACCUAGUUGAUCGCAUUUGAUUGCUGGUAGUCAUUGCUGUUCUCGAAUUUUAUUGGAUUUUUAGGUAUUCGUCCUAGAAUUUGUUUGAUCAUCAUGUCUAGCAACUAUCAAGAUCGUAGAAUUAACAUUCUUAUUAUAUCUACUCUACUUUUUAGUUUACUUGCAAAUAAUUAACAUUCUUCUUCUAACCUCUAUCCUCUUGAUUUCCUUUGUUUUGUCUGGUGUAGUGGUGGAUGAAAUUGUCAGGGGAAAUAAAGCAAUUAACCCCUUAAACCCUUAAGAAAGAUAAAACAAGUACACAAGAGAAAUAAAGCAAUUAACCCCAUAAGGGCUAAUAGACAAAUAACCCAAUAUGAGGGUAUAUAAUGUAACUCAGUUAUUAUAAUUUACAUCAUCAAGUUUAUCUCUAUUACAUCAUCUAUCUUCCUCCUGUACUACCUCUCUUCUCCGAUCAUCAAUCUGCUCCUCCGACUUCUCCGACCAUCUUCACUUUCUCAACAUGGUAUCAGAGCCAUCGAUCCUACACCGCUCUCAAUCUCUGAGUUCCCUCUCCGAACACACACAAGCAACCUUCCUACAAAAACAGGCCAACAACACCUCAACCCAAUCCCCUCCACCACUACCCAAUCUCGAAAAUCCAGAGGAUGACAGCAUCCUCAUCAACGGAACCAUCAACAAUCCCCAUCGCCUCCCAACGUCCUAUAACAUAAACUCACUCUUUCGCAACCCCAUGAACAAGACAGAUUAUAUCUGUUGGAAGUCGCACUUCCUGGGAGUCUUGAAACUCCAUGAUCUCUCCGGCGUAAUCAAUGAACCGGACCAGAAGUUGGAAACCACUACUGGGGAUGUCAACACCCAAUACUCAAAAUGGGUGAAGUCCGAUCAACUUGUACUCACGUGGAUAAGAGCAACUGUCUCCCCGGCGGUACAAUCCAUGAUCCUACACUGCACCACCUCAAAGGAGGCAUGGCACUUGCUGGAUCGGUUCCUCUCGCCACUAUGCAGUAUCCAUAUCAAGGCACUGAGGACAAAGCUACGAGCCACCAAAAAGAAGCCUGAAGUCUCCAUGUCUGAGUACUUGAUGAAGGUCAGAGCAACCAUCGAUGCCAUUCGUGCUGCCGGCUCCGUGAUAGCUGAGGAAGAAAUCAUUGGCUUCGUGGUUGACGGACUCGACGAAAACUACAGAAGUUUCCUGACGCAUCUUCACUUCAGCCCAGCCACAUCAUUUGACGAAUUGGUCAGUCACCUUCUCCAAGAAGAGGAUCUGCUCAAAAGAACAGAGCAGCCGGUCAACCCCAUCGCAUUCUCCGCGCAACAGCAGUCGUCGCAACAUCAUUCGUCGACAGAAGGAAAUAACUCCAAUCAACAACCGAUAGGAAACAACUCUCACAACCAAAACAACUUCAGAGGCCGGCCCAGGGGACGCGGAGGCCGAUAUCGAGGAGGACGAUUUAAUGGGGGACACUUCGGCAGAGGAGCAAACAAUCAACACUACAGGGCACCAACAUAUCACCCCCCCCCCCAACUAUCGACAUCCAGAACACUUCUCGCCGCCGCUACUACCAACACCAGUCUCUAUCGGUGAACAGGUGUGCCAAAUAUGCAAUCGCGCGGGCCACACAGCGAGGUUCUGUAAUAAUCGGCGUAACUAUGCAUACAACGCUCGCCUCAUCAAUGACGACAACUGUGCCAUGUCCGUCCACAGCAGCGCUCCGUCAGCAACAUCUGAAAGCUCGUGGUGUCUCGACAGUGGGGCGUCGAACCACAUGUCUCCAUCUCUGAACUCCUUCAACUCCUUCCAACCUUAUCAAGGUAAAGAUACUAUCAUGGUUGGAAAUGGUUCCCAAUUGCCGAUACUAAGGCAAGGGACUGUCUCUCUCACGACCUCUCUCGGUCGAAUUUUAAUUCCCAAUGUCCUAUACGUACCAGGACUCCACAAAAACCUACUUUCAAUUCAAUCACUUUCCAAUGAUCUAAACUGUGUUUGUUCCUUUGAUUCUAAUGGGUUCACCGUCAAGGCCAAGGAGACGGGAGCUACUAUCAUGAAUGGCAGUAGUGGCCAAGGCCUUUACCACCUCGACAAUUCAACGACAGGCAUCUGCAAGGGAAAACAAGCGUCUGCCUGUACGAGAUUGACGCCGGUGGUAUGGCAUCGUCGGUUGGGUCAUCCGGCUCAACCGAUUUUAUCUAGCGUUCUAAACUCCGUCUCUCCAGCUUCGAUCGACCGUCGACCAUCUACUCUUCCUUUCUUCCAGGUCUGUGCCCUCAAUAAAGCAAAGAGACCUGCCUUUCAUCAUCGUACCUACAUAGCCAGACAGCCACUGGAACUCAUCCACAUCGACCUUUGGGGGCCGGCUUCGGUGACUUCCAGAGAAGUGUUCAAGUACUAUGCGUGCAUAGUGGAUGAUUUCUCCAGAUUCACCUGGUUCAUCUCUUUAGUUCAAAAAUCCGACUUCACUUCCCAUUUCAUUAACUUUUGUAAUUUCGUCGAACGGUCAUUUGUCUUUAAAAUUCAAAAAAUUCAAUGUGACGCCGGCGGUGAAUUCGUCGGCCACAUUCUUCGAAACACUCUCUCAAAACUCGGUAUCCAACAACGUUUUUCCUGCCCUUAUACGCCACAGCAGAACGGCGUCGCCGAACGGAAACAUGGACACAUCGGCGACGUCGGCAGAUGCUUCCUACACCAGGCAUCACUACCACUAGAGCUCUGGACAGACGCGUACUCGAGCGCGACAUUCGUCAUUAAUCGACUUCCAUCAGUCACAACGAACAAGAAGUCACCGUACGAGGUACUAUUUGGGCGAAUCCCAGACUACUCACUACUACGGACCAUCGGAUGUCUCUGUUUUCCAAUCACACCCAACUCUCAGAGAACAAAGCUCCAGAGUGUGGCCACUCGAUGUGUAUUCAUUGGUUAUUCAAAUACGCACAGAGGGUACAAGUGCAAAGACCUAUCUACUGGGAAAAUAACAGUGUCACGGCAUGUUCUCUUUGAUGAAUGCACGUUUCCGUUCCAGCAGCAAACCCAAACCCAAGUACAGCCAGAGUCACACUUCAGACAACUGCCAUCUGCACUAAUUUCACCUCCUACAAGGCUACACACGAUUCGGGAAGCUGAUCAGAUACGAUCAGAAGAUCAUCCAGGAUCCUUAUCGACACAGACGACACAGACUGAUCGUCCAUCAGAAGAAACAGAGGACGAUCGAUCAGCUAUCUACCUCAAUCCGUGUACCGAAACAACGGCGUAUCCCGACACAACUAUCAUAAAGGAUACGCCGAAUAUCAAUCAAGACUGCAACACGAGAAAAUCUGAAAGAGUAAAGACACCACCCUCCUGGCUAAAGGACUAUGAGACAGAGGAUCAUGAACGAACAGGGCGCCAAAAUUCGUCGGCCACAAUCACCAGUUUAAAAGAAACCGGGUCCCCCAAUUCAACAAGGAAUGAAUCCGCUCAAUCAAAACCCGCCCGACUACACUCAUCCGAAUUACCCAAAUCAGUCGGACACUCCCAAACACAAUCCCAAAAUUUAAACAAGAUCCGACUCAUCAAAUUCAAUCGGUCGGACACUCACCCGAUAUCAGACGAACAACUGAGCACCAUCGUCUCCGACCCACCCCGCCGGACUGCGACCAAAAACUGCAACCUGGCCAUUAGUGAACAGUCCGAGCCGACGUCCGUCAGAGAAGCAUUCAAAUCUCCCCUCUGGAUGGAUGCAAUGACAGAUGAAAUCCAAGCACUUAACAUCAACAAUACCUGGAAGCUAGUUCCCAGACAAUCGGGAAUGAAUGUAGUUGGCUCCCGAUGGGUCUUCCAGGUUAAACAAAACUCUGACGGAUCCCUCAAUAGGUACAAAACUCGGCUUGUAGCGAAGGGUUUUCACCAGAAAUACGGGGAGGAUUAUGAUCUCACGUACAGCCCGGUGGUGAAGGCUGCCACUAUACGAACGAUACUGGCAAUUUCGACAUCCCAACGGUGGAAACUUCAUCACCUUGAUGUCUGUAAUGCGUUUCUUAACGGUCAUCUAACCGAAACAGUCUUCAUGGAACAACCUCCAGGGUUCACAAUGAAGAAAACAACGGCCAAAUCUCACGUCUGCAAACUACAAAAAGCGAUCUAUGGCCUGAAACAGGCACCGAGAGCCUGGUAUCAACGACUAAAAGAGUUUCUUCACAGUUGUCAAUUCCUCAAUUCCACAUCUGAUUCAUCACUAUUCAUCAGAAGAAACAACGGAAGGGUCAUCUACGUUCUAAUCUACGUAGAUGACUUCGUAAUCACGGGCGACUGCGAUACAGAGGUUAAAGCUUUCAUCGACUCGGUCUGCAGACAAUUCAAAUGCAGGGAUCUCGGACAACUAUCCUUCUUCCUAGGCAUUGAAAUGGAAUCGACUGCAACGUCCACGAAGAUCACACAGAGAAAGUACUCCCUGGAUCUGCUUGCGAAAUUCAAGAUGAACAAUUCCAAACCAAUCUCGACGCCAUCGACACCAGGAUCCAAACUAACAGCCAACUCAGGGACACCAAUCGAGGAUCCGACUCCAUAUCGGAGCCUGGUUGGAGCUUUGCAAUAUCUCAGUCUCACUCGCCCAGACAUCGCAUUCUCAGUUAAUCAAGUAUGCAAAUUUAUGCAAUUACCAACAACAACCCAUUGGCAGGCAGCCAAACGCAUCCUUCGAUACAUCAAAGGCACCAUUGGUUUUGGGCUCACCUACACACCUUCAACCUCCACAGACCUAAACAUCAUGGUCGACUCGGACUGGGCGGGUGACCCAGAUGACAGACGCUCAACGACCGGAUCUUGUGUCUUCCUCGGCCCAAACCCGGUGGCCUGGAUGUCCAAAAAGCAGCCGACGGUAUCACGAUCCAGCGCCGAGGCUGAAUACAGAGCCAUCGCACAUGUCACGGCCGAGCUCAAAUGGUUCUGCUCGCUCCUAAGGGAGCUGGGAGUGUAUCUGAGACAAGUUCCAGUUAUUCACACUGAUAGCAGAUCGGCAAUUUUUAUGGCAACCAACCCAGUGAUUCAGGCUAAAACGAGGCACAUUGAAAUCGACUACCACUUCAUCAGAGAGUUCAUCAUCCGCGGAGAUAUCAGCCUCAAAUUCGUUCGGUCGGAAAAUCAAAGUGCAGACAUCUUCACCAAAGCUCUACCGGCGUCACUCUUUCAUCGACACCGGCAACGUCUGCGACUCACCGGUGUCGAAGGGGGGUGUCAGGGGAAAUAAAGCAAUUAACCCCUUAAACCCUUAAGAAAGAUAAAACAAGUACACAAGAGAAAUAAAGCAAUUAACCCCAUAAGGGCUAAUAGACAAAUAACCCAAUAUGAGGGUAUAUAAUGUAACUCAGUUAUUAUAAUUUACAUCAUCAAGUUUAUCUCUAUUACAUCAUCUAUCUUCCUCCUGUACUACCUCUCUUCUCCGAUCAUCAAUCUGCUCCUCCGAC